GGGCUUCUUCUCCCUUGAAGAACAAUGAAUUAGGGUUGAGAGGCUCCCUCCUCCAGGGGCCAGGGGGUCUGGUUUUAUAGUCCCUUCAAGUGAAUAUGGGCCGUUGGAUCAAACCGACAUAGAUUGUAUGGUUUAGAUUCAUCCUUUAGGUCGGUGGAAAUCUCCCGCAAAGCAGAGUCCUGAUUGGACUCAGAGGCAGGGCGGGCGCCCAGGGUCUGGCCCCGUUUCGCCUCCGCUUCGGUCUCGUGGCUUCUGGAGUCUUCUAGAUGUAAGAUAAUUGCGCGUCACGUUAAUAUCUUUACGUAAUCCCGACGUGUGGGUCUUUCUUCCGUAUUUCCUGAUAACUCCCUGCAGAAAUAGACAAACACCAAAACUCGUGGAAUUCUGUCAGAUAAAACCCUAAGUCUAGAUGUUGAUUUCAUUUGGAUCCUUUUCUUUGUUUAUUUGAUAAUUAAAUUUGAUACUUAAGGACCGUCAACAAACUCCCCCAAGCUUACCUCUUGCUCGUCCCUGAGCAAGGAUAGACUCAGCUAUGGAUCAUAAGUUGUUGCAAUAUAUUUAAAAAUUGACGGUACACAUGCUUUUUAAAUAAGAUCUCAUCUCUAAGUUAGAGUAAACUGUCAAGACUUAAAACUUACUUACUUUACCUUCACCAUGGGACUUGUAACUGUCACUUCUAUCUUGAGUAGUUAAACGAUAGAACAGUCUAGUCAAGUGCCAUGUCUCUUAUUCUUGAUCAGCUAUAGCUCUGGGGUUUUUGCAGAUUUUCAAAUAAAACUCAGAGAUUCCUUGUAUGACUCUCUCAGAUCUCUCUUUUGUGGUAUUUCUGGAUCCUUACCAAGGCAGUAAUGGUAUAUGCCUUCUCACAAUAUAUGUGGUAUUUGUGGUAUAAAGCAUAGUGACAUUGCCUUCUCUCUCACCCUACUCUAAUAAGGCUUUAAUAUCUGGAGCUCAUAGGUGGGAGAUAAAGUAUACAUACUUACAAGACAUGUAUUGUAUAGUCAAACCAUGGAUCCAAAGAAACAAAUCAAUAAGCCAAAUCAAGAUGUGCAUGUGUGGCGAAUGAAUGAUGUAUGGUGGUGAUGGUGAUAACAAUGGUGAAAACAAUGGUGGUGGAAGUCUAAUUCUACUUUGCUCUUUGAGGGGAUACAUACCUUCCUUGCUUUUUUUUUGAAUUUAUGAGGAGAAUGAGAUGCUCUUCUUUUUUUCUUUUCUCUCAGGUGGGUAUCUUGUACCCCUAAUUCUACUGUCGGACACUUGUCCAUUUUUACCUCUCGUCUCACUCUCUCUUUUCUUUCGAGGUUCCGAGCACUUGCACCUUUUUAUUUCCUCAUAUUUCUCUUUUUUUUUCUUUUUCUUUUUUUUAGAGCAUUCAUCUCUUGAGAUAAUAUAGCAAGUGGUAGUAACAAGAUAACUUGAGCAUUUAUUUCACAAGGGAAACAUAAAUAUUUUUGGCUAUUCUCUCCCGGAUUAGGAGUAGAAUAUUUUUGGGUGAUUCUGGAGAUGGAAUGGGUGGAUAUAUGUGGAUGGUACUUCCGGAGUAGAAGUAGCAUAUAUGAGUGAACGUACAAGUGAAUCUUGAUUUAACCACAUGACAAGUUCCUAAGGGUCUACACAGCUUGACCACACUCAAUGCUCAUAAGCAGUAAAUAGUAAAUGUGUGGCUCAAAGUCUAGCAAGCAUGUAUAUAUGGCUGUGGUAGGAAUUUAAACUCUCAUCAUACAUGAACUCAUCAUGCAACAUUUUAAAGAUUUUCAAAGAUAAAAUUCUCUAGAAAUCUAGCAUCUCUAGGAACAGAUAAACAGCAGCUCAACCUUCCCAUAUCGUAUCCGUUAACAACUUAGACUUCAGAUCAAAUUUUCAUCCCACAAGUUUAGGUCUAGAGCAAGCUUUAAAUUAUAACAGUUAUAUAUAUCCUUGAGAGUGAACUUAAAAUGUGCAAAUUAGGCAGAGCAACUAUUCAUCAUUUCCAUACUUAAGUUUUAUUUAGAUACAGAUUAGCAUCGCCACUUUAUUUAUUUAUUAAACACACUAAGCAAAAGAUAUAUAUAUAAGCUUAAAAUCUUUAUUUGGUUUUUUAUAGUUUAUGUAUAUUUAAUAUUCUAAUAUAAUAUAAGUAUAAAGAUAGAUAGAAAUACUUAUCGAGAUAAAUGGGGGUGCUCUCUCCCAAGCUGAAUUUUGACGUAAUUUCUCUUGAUGUAGCUAGCAGGUGGCAGAGGUGUAUUUGAAAGUCAGCAGCAUUCUGACAGCGAUUAGAAUGUCCUCCGUCUGCUAGUCUUCUUGAUUCUUAAAUUCUGCGGAGCUCAAAUAGACAACAAAGCUUGUGGAACUGAUUAAGUGUUAGCAUAAAUAUCUAGCCUUUAUCAUCUUGAGACUCCUUAAUAAUUAUUACUCCCUGUUUUUAUAUUUUUAUUUUAUAAAGCAGAAAAGAAAUUUUUAUUUUAUUUUUAUGCCACCACAGUGAAUGUACUUAUGGGUUUUAUGCCACUCGCAUACUCACAUGGGGCUUACUGUUUUUCGCAUUUUUAUUUUCUUUUAUUUUUAAGAUAGUACGAACAUGAUUAACUAAGUAAACUAGUUGAAAUAAUUGAAAAGGAAAGGAUAACUACCAAGUUUACCUCUCGGCAAGGCGUUCGGUGUUUUUUAAGUCCUCCGAACGGGACUCUCCAUUUUUUCAGUAGUCCUGAGGUUCGUUGGUGGUGUAGUCGGUACUUCCAGCGGCGCCUCCUCUUCAUGUAUAGUUAUCUUCAUUUUCCACACCUGACUUGGUGCUUCGGUCUACUCUGGAUAAUUCUGUUUAAACUCUACGUUUUCUGACCUUACAACUUUUCCUUCAUAGUCUGCCCAUCCGUCCUUGAUGAUCUGCCUCCUCUGGUUGCGGUUACGUCUUUUCCUUACCUGCUUAGAUUCUUCAACGAUAUAGUUAGGGUCAGUAAAAUAACGGCGUACCUUCUCUAAGGGGAAGUGCAUAUGGACUUCUCCGGUUCCAAUGUAGAUAAUUGCUUUAACGGUGCUGAGGAACGGUCUUCCAAGGAUGAUGGGUGGAUCGUACUUGUCUUCUCCCAUGUCAAUAACUUGAAAGUCUGUGUAGACAAAGUGAUCGUCUAUUUUGACUGGGACAUCAGUUACUAUUCCUUUAACUUCUCAAAAUGUCUGAUCUGCCAUCUGGAGUUGAAUGUAUGUUGGUCUUAGUGGCAUGGUUCCAAACAAGAGCCGAUAGGUGACUGCGGCCAUUAUGUUGACGCCCGAUCCAGUGUCGCAAAUCAUCUUGAAGAAACUAUAUCCAUUUAUGGAGCAGUAGAUGCUUGGCAUUCCUAGGUCGUCCUUCUUGGUCAAAAGCGGUGACUUAAGUUGGUGAUCUUGGCCUCCAUGAACUACAGUGACCAUCUUAGCUGACUCGGUCCACACUUGCUUGUUCCUGUUCCUCCUGUUGGUCCUCUUCCUUGACUCACGUCUGGAUUGAUCUGGAAUUUUUGUAAUCUUUUUCUUGAAGAAAAAUGUCUCCUUCUUCCCUUUGACGUAGAAACUGAUCUUGGCAGCACUAGCGUAGAUGAUAGCUCCCGUGGUGUUCAAGAAUGGCCUCCCUAAGAUGAUGGGUGCUCUCUCAUCAUUUCCGGUCUUUACCACUACGAAGUCUGCUAGGGCAUACAAGGUACCAACUCGGACGCAAAGGUUCUUCAAUAUUCCCUUUGGAAAAGUUAUCGUCUGAUCUGCAAAUUGCAAACACAUGGUUGUUUCUAAUAAAAGAUAUGUAAAGAAUUUUUCAUAGAGUACCCUGGUUAUAAUGUUGACACUGGAGCCAAAGUCGCAGAGUGCUUCUGGAACGUCCACCAUGCCGAUAGAGAUCGGGAUGACGGGGCGUCCUGGAUCGCCUCUCUUGACCGGCAGAAGGUCAGUAGAGAAUUUAGUGACGGGGUUACUUCCAAUUACCUGCAUCAAACGUGUCUACAAGAUUUGCAGAUUCUAAUCCUUCCGGUUGUGAUUGUAUACCGGGGUUAGUAGUAGGAACAGCAACAGCUAUUUGAUUUAACUGAGAUUCAAUCAUUUUAUUAAAGCUAAUUUGAUUCUUGAUGGCAGUAGAGAAAUUAUCCAUUCUAUUAUUUAUAUUUUCUAGCAUUUUAUCAUUAGAUGCCAAUUUCUUAGAUAGAUUAUCCAUUAGCUUUCCUUGAUUAGACACUAACUCUCUCAAAGGUGGAAAAUUAUUAGCAUUAUUGUUGUAAGAAUUGUUACCUUGAUAAUUACCUGAGUAGUUAGGCCUCUGUUGAUUCCAACCUUGAUUUUGUUGAGGACGGUUGUAGUAGUUGUUGUUGUUGAUGAUGUAGUUCACAUCCUCAAGCAUCUCAGGGCAGUGGUUGCCUGAGUGUCCAGUGUCUCCACACUCCUCACAAGUCAUGUGAGAGUCGUAGAUGUGCAUAACUUCUUUCUUGUCUCCAACUCUAUCAUCGAGCUUCUUCAUGAGCAGGUCUAGCUUUUGCAGACAGCAUGUCUACAUCUUUCAGCUGAUGCAUACCUCCACCUCUCUUGCGUGUCUGGGUCCUCUCUUCAUUCCAGCUUUGGUUGGACGCCAUCUUCUCCACAAGAGCUGUGGCUUGUGGUAUUGUAAGUGAUAAGAAUGCUCCUCCAGCUGCAGCAUCCAUGGUCUCUCGGGCACUGUUGCCGAGCCCAUGAUAAAACGUCUGCAUUAAUAGCCAACUCUCCAUUCCAUGAUGGGGACAUUCUAGGAUGUAGUCUUGAAAGCGCUCCCAUGCUUCUGGAACAAAUUCAUCAUUUUGUUGCUGAAAACUUGUAAUCUUCCCACGGAGAGCAUUGGUCUUGCCCAUGGGAAAGAACUUAGCCAAAAAGUUUGUUGAGCAGAGUGCCCACGUAGUAUUCUUCUCCUUUGUAGCGUAGAACCACUGCUUCGCUCUUCCUCACAGUGAGAAUGGGAAGAGGCGAAGUAGUAUAGCAUCUUUGGGAACUCCUGAUAUGGUGAAUGUGUUGCAAAUCUCCAAGAAGUGUUGUAAAUGAGCACUAGCAUCUUCGUGUGCCUUCCCACAGAACUGGUUGGAUUGCACCAUGUUGAUAAGUCCAGGCUUGAGCUCAAAGUUGCCAUCGAUCUCUGCAGCAGGUCCAGUGCGGAUGUUGUCCGUAGUGGGAGCUGAGAACUCGCGGAUUGAUUUGUUCGCCAUGGCUUCAAACUCUGAAGACAAGUUCCGGUGAUCUUCUUGAUUUGGAUGAAGCUUCUUGCUGAAGUGUUGAUGAUUUCUUUAGCUUGGCUCUCGUCUUCUUGAAUAAUGCUUCGGGAUUAUUAACAAAAUUUCCUGGAAGAUGUCUUCUAUUCAUACAUUCCCCUGCAUAAGAUGAAAUAGGAAAAUAUCGGGGUAAAACUGUAUGAGAGAAUAGAUAAGCUCAAUCAUAUUAGUGAUGCAAAUGAUAACUCAAAAUCUUUUAUUCCAUUCCUGAUUAGUAAUCAACCUUCCCCGGCAACGGCGCCAAAAAUGCUUGUUGGGUAUUCUUAACAUCAUUACCAAAAGUAGCUAAGUUCUCUAAAUCUAGUAACGGUGCCAAAAAUGCCAAACCUAUCCCUCACACCACUUAAGCCAAGUUGUCAUCCCCAACAUGAUAUAAGAGACGCGGUAUUGAAAUAUGCAAUUGCUCUUCUAAAUAAAUAAUGAAUGGGAUCUGCAAGCGCACAGAUUAAUACCGAUGCAGCAUUUUAACCGGGAAGUAUUCCAGGUAUCGUUAUUUAUAUUUUUACCACUGGGAAGGGAUUAGCAAUCAUCAAUAUUGAUUACAGAAUAGAAUAUGAGAUUGAGCAUCUAUCAUUGCAUGUAUAAUUGAGAACAUUAUAUCUAACUCAUCAUACAGGGAUAAGUGUCACAUAAAAGAUAUAUGAAAUAGUGAAUAGUGACAAGGAUAAUUAAUCUGAUCUAGCCACAUAAUAAAUAUGAUAAGCACCUCAAUUAGAUACUCUAGAAAGUCAUUAGCAUGGUAUUAGAACGAACUACAUGAAUAUUCCCUAAGUUAUUCUCAACUAUAUAGUCUAGCAUUAUCAUAAUUAGUGCAAGCAUACUUAGCAAUCAUCGCGAGACAAGACUACGCCCAUGCAUAGUGAUAUUAGCAAGGAAUAUGAGAAACAUAGCAAUCACUCCCCUUUAAUAAUGUUGCUCUGCCAACCCAAUACACGAGAGGGGGACUAUAUAAGAAUCAAUGAAGCUGUCACUAUCACGAACUACCCCACGAUCUGGCAUAUUGGGUACAAUCACAGAUAAAUACGGUAUAAGCACCACGCCUACACAAUAUCUAUCAUUUACCCAUGGAUCCGAUGGAUAAACGCUAUACGAUCCUAAGCAUGUAUAUAGAUCGAAUCUAACUAAGCCAAGUACAUAACUAUGAUAAACUAAGAACAAUAUAAUCUUGAAUAUAAGCAAGUAGAGCAAAGUCAUAAGCAAUAUAUUGAAGUAGAACAAAGUCAUAUUCAUAAUAUUGAAGAACAAAGAUAAUUAGAAGGCAAUUAGAAGCACAAUUAGAGAAUUACCAAGAAUCCUCUUGACAGAUCCGGAAACCAAUCGAAGAUUGACUCCUUCUAGUUCUAAUCCUAUGUAGCUAUGCUAAUCUAGAUGUCUAAUUGAUGUGGUGGCUCUAAUCUUGAUCAGGGGCUUCUUCUCCCUUGAAGAACAAUGAAUUAGGGUUGAGAGGCUCCCUCCUCCAGGGGCCAGGGGGUCUGGUUUUAUAGUCCCUUCAAGUGAAUAUGGGCCGUUGGAUCAAACCGACAUAGAUUGUAUGGUUUAGAUUCAUCCUUUAGGUCGGUGGAAAUCUCCCGCAAAGCAGAGUCCUGAUUGGACUCAGAGGCAGGGCGGGCGCCCUGACCAACUGGGCGGGCGCCCAGGGUCUGGCCCCGUUUCGCCUCCGCUUCGGUCUCGUGGCUUCUGCAGUCUUCUAGAUGUAAGAUAAUUGCGCGUCACGUUAAUAUCUUUACGUAAUCCCGACGUGUGGGUCUUUCUUCCGUAUUUCCUGAUAACUCCCUGCAGAAAUAGACAAACACAAAAACUCGUGGAAUUCUGUCAGAUAAAACCCUAAGUCUAGAUGUUGAUUUCAUUUGGAUCCUUUUCUUUGUUUAUUUGAUAAUUAAAUUUGAUACUUAAGGACCGUCAACAAACUCCCCCAAGCUUACCUCUUGCUCGUCCCUGAGCAAGGAUAGACUCAGCUAUGGAUCAUAAGUUGUUGCAAUAUAUUUAAAAAUUGACGGUACACAUGCUUUUUAAAUAAGAUCUCAUCUCUAAGUUAGAGUAAACUGUCAAGACUUAAAACUUACUUACUUUACCUUCACCAUGGGACUUGUAACUGUCACUUCUAUCUUGAGUAGUUAAAAGAUAGAACAGUCUAGUCAAGUGCCAUGUCUCUUAUUCUUGAUCAGCUAUAGCUCUGGGGUUUUUGCAGAUUUUCAAAUAAAACUCAGAGAUUCCUUGUAUGAUUCUCUCAGAUCUCUCUUUUGUGGUAUUUCUGGAUCCUUACCAAGGCAGUAAUGGUAUAUGCCUUCUCUCAAUAUAUGUGGUAUUUGUGGUAUAAAGCAUAGUGACAUUGCCUUCUCUCUCACCCUACUCUAAUAAGGCUUUAAUAUCUGGAGCUCAUAGGUGGGAGAUAAAGUAUACAUACUUACAAGACAAGUAUUGUAUAGUCAAACCAUGGAUCCAAAGAAACAAAUCAAUAAGCCAAAUCAAGAUGUGCAUGUGUGGCGAAUGAAUGAUGUAUGGUGGUGAUGGUGAUAACAAUGGUGAAAACAAUGGUGGUGGAAGUCUAAUUCUACUUUGCUCUUUGAGGGGAUACAUACCUUCCUUGCUUUUUUUUUGAAUUUAUGAGGAGAAUGAGAUGCUCUUCUUUUUUUCUUUUCUCUCAGGUGGGUAUCUUGUACCCCUAAUUCUACUGUCGGACACUUGUCCAUUUUUACGUCUCGUCUCACUCUCUCUUUUCUUUCGAGGUUCCGAGCACUUGCUCCUUUUUAUUUCCUCGUAUUUCUCUUUUUUUUUCUUUUUCUUUUUUUUAGAGCAUUCAUCUCUUGAGAUAAUAUAGCAAGUGGUAGUAACAAGAUAACUUGAGCAUUUAUUUCACAAGGGAAAACAGAAAUAUUUUUGGCUAUUCUCUCCCGGAUUAGGAGUAGAAUAUUUUUGGGUGAUUCCGGAGUAGAAGUAGCAUAUAUGAGUGAACGUGCAAGUGAAUCUUGAUUUAACCACAUGACAAGUUCGUAAGGGUCUACACAGCUUGACCACACUCAAUGCUCAUAAGCAGUAAAUAGUAAAUGUGUGGCUCAAAGUCUAGCAAGCAUGUAUAUAUGGCUGUGGUAGGAAUUUAAACUCUCAUCAUACAGGAACUCAUCAUGCAACAUUUUAAAGAUUUUCAAAGAUAAAAUUCUCUAGAAAUCUAGCAUCUCUAGGAACAGAUAAACAGCAGCUCAACCUUCCCAUAUCGUAUCCGUUAACAACUUAGACUUCAGAUCAAAUUUUCAUCCCACAAGUUUAGGUCUAGAGCAAGCUUUAAAUUAUAACAGUUAUAUCUAACCUUGAGAGUGAACUUAAAAUGUGCAAAUUAGGCAGAGCAACUAUUCAUCAUUUCCAUGCUUAAGUUUUAUUUAGAUACAGAUUAGCAUCGCCACUUUAUUUAUUUAUUAAACACACUAAGCAAAAGAUAUAUAUAUAAGCUUAAAAUCUUUAUUUGGUUUUUUAUAGUUUAUGUAUAUUUAAUAUUCUAAUAUAAUAUAAGUAUAAAGAUAGAUAGAAAUACUUAUCGAGAUAAAUGGGGGUGCUCUCUCCCAAGCUGAAUUUUGACGAAGUCAGCAGCAUUCUGACAGCGAUUAGAAUGUCCUCCGUCUGCUAGUCUUCUUGAUUCUUAAAUUCUGCGGAGCUCAAAUAGACAACAAAGCUUGUGGAACUGAUUAAGUGUUAGCAUAAAUAUCUAGCCUUUAUCAUCUUGAGACUCCUUAAUAAUUAUUACUCCCUGUUUUUAUAUUUUUAUUUUAUAAAGCAGAAAAGAAAUUUUUAUUUUAUUUUUAUGCCACCACAGUGAAUGUACUUAUGGGUUUUAUGCCACUCGCAUACUCACAUGUACUUAUGGGUUUUAUGACUUUCCUUACCGUUCCUAUGUGUUUCCCUCUUGAUUCCCUUUUUUGACUCCCUGGCAACGGCGCCAGAAAUGCUUGUUGACACUAGCUAACACCACUUAGAUACUAUGUUGUCAUCCCCAGCAUGGUGCCAGAGUGUACAAAGGUAUUUAUGAAUAUGGAGGCUCUCUAGAAAAUAAUCUAUUCUAUCCACAUGCGCACAGAUAAAAUACCUCAUUGUAGCAUUUCACCAGGAAAGUAUUCUAGGUAUCGUUAUUUAUAAUUUUGCUUAAGACAACAAGGGUGAAAUUAAGAUAAGGAUAAAAUCUAUCAAGGCAUAGACUAGAGAUAAACUUGCAACAACAUGAUUACUAAUGAGGAACUCGUCACACAGUCACUUAUUUUGGCAGGGGGUAAGCCAUAAUAAUAAUGAUAAUGAAAUAUAAGCCCAUGGGUAAUUAACACAGCGAUUAGAAAAUAGACUACUCCUGGUGACGUCGGAUUAGCUAGAGAAUGGAUUCUAAGUUAUCUACUAUCUACUAAGUCACAAUCUACUCUAGUUAUCUACAAGAUCAUAUAUAGCAUAAAACACUCUUCAUUUAUGUAUAAGGAACAUUGCUAAAGUAAAUCAGAGCAUUGCAAGACUUACUCCGCAAUACAAAUUCUGCCAGUCCUAUCAACGGAGGGUGGACUAUAUAAGAAUCAACGAAGCUGUCACUAUCACAAACUACCACACAACCCGACUAAUAGGAUACAUUUGCAGGUAAAUAACAUCUAAGCACCACGCCCACAUGUGAUCUACCACUUAACUCCCACGUGUCAAGAGCUAAGUGCUUUGCAAACUUAUACAUAAACUCAUUAUUAAUCAUAACUAUAUCAAACAUAGAACUUGAGAAAACUAAGAGCAUAAUAAAUAGAGACAUAAUGCAACUAGAACAAAGUAGUAGAGAAAGAUAUGAAAUAAUACCAAUCUUUAUUAACGAAGAUCCGAAUCCAGAGCGUAGUGCUCUACUUCUCUAAUUCUAUCUAAUCAAUCCUCUAAACUUGAAGGAUUUUGAAACCCUAACUUUGAUGGCUACCUCUGAUAAUGAUUUCUCCUCUCUCCCGCUGGGGUGGAGAGGCCUUGAUUAUAUAGUCCUUUCAAGUGAAUUUGGGCCGUCGGAUCAAACCGACAUUGAUCGCAUGGUUUUCCUUGAUCCUUUAGGUCGGUGGAGCACGAUCCAGGAGAUUGGUUGUGAUUGGCCCCGAGGCCAGGACGGGCACCCAAGGGGGGAGGGCGGGCGCCCUGCCCCCGAGCCCGUCCGGUCUCCCGUUCGUUCCCGUGGCUUCUGGACUCUUCUAGAUUAAGGAAAAUUGCGCGGCACGUAAUUAUCUCGUUGUAAACAUGACAUGUGGGCCUUCUCUCAAUAUUUUCUGAUAACCCCCUAAAGAAAUAGACAAACACCAAAGCUCGAGGAAUUAUGUCAGAUAAAACCCUAAUUCUAGAUGUUUGGUGCAUAUUGAUCCUAUUCCAUGUUUAGUUGAUAGUUAAAUUUAGUACUUAAGGACCGUCAACACCUACCUUUCCCGCUGCAUCCUCAUUUUCUGUGUCCUUGUCAAUCCUUCUAGACACCACUAGGGAAGCUAUGUCUUCCACAUUGGUUGAUAGCGGACCUCCCUUGAUUCCACCCGAUGAGUGUUAGCAUCCCUACAGAAAAUAAAUUCAUCGGGCACCCGUGCAUUGGCCAUUUAUUCAAGUUCUACUUGGUUCCUUGGAAAAUGACCAAUACGUUCAACAGGUCUAUCAUACACACUAAGUCUGCCCCCAGCCGAUCAUGGACUGACAUCCUCCCCCUGAUCGGCUCAUUAAAGCGUCGAUCAUCGUUUUGGAAAUGUCGAUCUGGCCGAUCAUACCGAUUAUAGCCAUUGCAUUCAGGGCAGUUGUUAACGGUCCUUAAGUACCAAAUAUAAUCAUCAAAUUAAUAAAGAAAAGGAUCCAAAUACAACCAACACCCAAACUUAGGGUUUUAUUUGAUAGAAUUCCAUGAGUUUUUAUGUUUGUCUAUUUCUGCAGGGGGUUAACAGGAAAUAUGGAGGAAAGGCCCACAUGUCGGGUUUACAUAGAGAUAUUAACGUGCCACGCAAUAUUCUAUCAUCUAGAAGACUCUAGAAGCCACGGGAACGAAUGGGAAGGCGAUCGGGCCCGGGGGCAGGGCGCCCGCCCUGAGUUGGAGUCCAAUCAGGACCCGUCUCGCGGAUUACGCUCCACCGACCUAAAGGAUCAAGGAUAACCAUUCAAUCAAUGUCGGUUUGAUCCAAUGGCCCAGAUUCACUUGAGGGGACUAUAUAAGCAGACCCCCUAGCCCCUGUAGGAGAACAAGUUCAUUGUAGAGUUGAGAGGUGCCCUGGAAGGAUAACCUUUCCUCUACAUAGACAGAGCAAAAGCUAGGGUCUGGAGAUGAGAGCUCUCCUCUCAUCUCUAAACUAGAGUAGAUCUAGAUAGUAGCGAGAUGGAGAGCAAGGGAGGAUUAGAGGAGAGGCCGGCCUAUCGGUUCUUCCUCCGGUUGUACUUCGCCAUGAUCAAGUUCUAAUCAAGCUUGCUCAUGGGAUGACUCUGGUAAUUUACUUCUAUUUCAUUAUGCAAUUACUAUUCAUGUAUGUUCUGGCUCACACCUCUAUUGAGUACUUUUAAUCUAUAGGACCCUAUAGGUUAGAGUUGUAGUAUAGGUGUAAGCAUGGUGCUUAGACAUAGAUUACUUGUGGAUAUCCCCUGUCUAGCUGGAUCGUGUGGUAGGCCACGUAGGUGACAGUUAUGUUGGUCCCCUGUAGUCCAUCUCCUGUUAGCAGGACGGGUAGGGUUUAUCGGCCUGUGGAUAAGCAUCCUUUGUGGUGUAUUCUUAUCACGUGGUUCGUCCCAGACAUAUACAUACCCCUUUGAAGUAGAGAAACCAUAGUUAUCCUCUCUAUUCUCCUACCAUCGCCCAUAUAUUAGAUUGCCCUACUCUCUAUUCCCAUAUUAUCACCCAUUGUUAUUUUUCCUUUAAUAUUGUUCUUAUUCAAUUCUACCAUCUUUCCUAUUUACACUUACCCAUCUAUCUAGGUUAAGUUAGGGCGUAGAUCAGUUCUCCCGUUUCCCUAUGGAUACGAUAAAACCUUUAACCGGGUAAAUGCUACAACGGUAUCUGUGCGCUUGCGGAUUUAUUUGUGUGCGUAUAAAUACCAUAGUACACUCUAGUGCCAAGCUGGGGAUGACAACCUAGUAUUCAAGUGGUGUUAGCAAGUGUCAACAAGCAUUUUUGGCGCCGUUGCCGGGGAGACGGUUGCUGAGUUGACAACGAACUAGCUUAAUCAUUUUCUAAAAAAAAUAAAAAAUAUAUAUUUUUACCUUUUAUCCUUUGCCUUAUCUCUACUAUUCUUUCUUCUUAUCUAAUCCUUGAUCUCUGGUCUAUCAUGAAUGCAAACAUGUCUAUCUAUCUGUUUCAUAGACCCACGGGCACACAUCUCGAACCACCAAAAUCUUCAAAGCCUAUCAUAGCAUCUAGUUUUGAGAUAGACCCCGAAUACAUAGAAUUUGUUCAAAAACAACCUUUCUCAGGAGAAGGUGAGGAAAACCCAUACACACACCUAAGAGAGUUUUAUCGAGUCUGUGACCUCCUUCGCAUUGAAGGCAUGUCCGAUGAGACCCUUAAAUGGAAGCUCUUUUCGUUCUCUUUAACAGGAAAAGCUAGACAUUGGUACAAACUCAAAGUAGGGAGUGUUCAUGGAGAUUCGAAGGAGUUAUAUAUUAGUUUUCUUUUUAAAUAUUUUCCAAUCUCCAAAGUGGUGGAACUUCGGCGUGAGAUUCUUUCUUUUAGACAACUGGAAGAAGAAUCUCUCGGCAAAUCAUGGGACCGCGUUAUUAACCUUACUCUCACUGGCCCAAAGCUUUCUAUUCCAGAAGAAGUUCUUCUAAUUCACUUUUUUGAGGGCCUUAGUAGGGAAAAUAAGCAAACCGUGAAUACAGCCUCUAGAGGAUCCUUCUAUCACCUACCUGCUAGUGAAGCUAGGGAUUUAAUUGAUUCAUUGAGUGUCACAGAACCGACCAAAUUAUAAGAGUUCAAGUGUAGAAACGAUCGCCCAGCAAUUAAGUUUCCAAACUUGAGCCCAUAUAAUCCCGGUAGUCAAUUGAAAUCACGAAGGAUUUCAAACCAACUCGCAACAAACCAAGAUCGUAAUAAUUCAACAUAAACACAGCGAAUGUUACAUAGUCAAACAUUGCCGUCGAAGCGGCACCACAUCGGAGUCUUAAGUUAUUACAACACUUGUCCAAAGUAGCGGAAGCAAAAUAGUUACACACACAUUCCAAAGUUCAGUUCAUAAGUUUGAGUUACUGCCAGAGUCUACACCGUCCUUCGAAAAGCAACAGGUACGAAGUUGUUAGAGAACCGUGCCCAACGGUUAGUCCUCAUCCCCAGCGGGAUGGAGACAGGUCUUGCAGAAACCGUCAUAGAAGAUGUCAUCUGCAACAAGUGGGAAUAAACCCUGAGUACGAGAAUGUACUCAGCUAGACUUACCCGUCUAGUAAAACAUAAAAGACACCAAGGAUCAUGCAAGGCCAAGAUAUAGAAGUAGAGCUCGUUGACUCGACAUUUUGCCAAAAGCCUUUAUUAAGACUACCCAAAUUUAAGAGCAUCAUAUUUAUUUAUCACCAGCCUACCACUAGAUUAGCACCUGUACUACAACACAUCACUUGAUUAUUACAAGCAAUAAUAACCAUAUCAAGUUCAUCAUAUGUUCUUCUUGCUAUCAUCAUUAUCAUGAACCAAGUUCAUUAGUGAAUGCUACGUUUGCCGCUGCUGUUGACGGUCCUUAAUGCUCACAUUUAACCAUCAACUAAUCAUAGAAAAGGAUCUAAAUGGAACCAACACCUAGACUUAGGGUUUUAUCUGACAGAAUUCCACAAGUUUUGGUGUUUGUCUAUUUCUGCAGGGGGUUAUUAGGAAAUAUGGAAGAAAGGCCCACACGUCGGGUUUACAUAGAGAUAUUAACGUGCCGCACAAUUAUCUACCAUCUAGAAGACUCCAAAAGCCACGAGACCGAAGCGGAGGCGAAACGGGGCCAGAGACUGGGCGCCCGCCCUGUCCUACUGGGCGCCCGCCCACCUCCUGAGUCCAAUCAGGACUCUGCUUUGCGGGAGAUCUCCACCGACCUAAAGGAUCAAGGAUAACCGUUCAAUCUAAGUCGUUUUGAUCCAACGGCCCAUAUUCACUUGAAGGGACUAUAAAACCAGACCCCUGGCCCCUGGAGAUCAUACCUCUUCUACAGAAUCAAAGCUAGGGUUUCAAUUCUUCAUCCAAGUAGAGAGGAUCCCUCUAGUUCUUCUAGUUCUACCUCUAGUUCAUCUAGAUCUAGUUCUAGUUCAUCUAGUUCUAGUUCUAGUUCCUCUAGUUCUAGUUCUAGUUAGUUCUAGUUGUAAUCUAGAAAAUAGGGAGAGAGAAGAGGAGAGCGGAGGAGGAGCCGGAUCUGUCGGAUCUUCCUCAACAUUGUACUUUUGCAGCAUCUGGUUCGUUCUUCAUCGUUCUCCAGGUUCUUCAAUUCAUAAUUCCUGAGUUCUUUAAUUACUUUUAUUUACAUUCAAGUUAUUUAUUGGAUUCCCGCUUGCAUCAAGUGCUCUAGUCUUUAUAACUCUAGAGUAGUAAUUAAUAGAUUAGACGUGGUGUUUAGUCUUGCGAUUACCUGGAAUUGCACUCAAUCCUACGGAUUGUUGUGGUAGCCCUAGGGUAGUGACAGCCCUAACGGUCGACGUAUUCCACCACGUUCGGAUCGGUGUUUGUAGGACCGUAGUCGGAGCUUCCUAGCCCCCUUCUCAUCUCUUUCUGUGGUUAGUGUUCUGAUGUCCCGAAAUAGAUAAUCUUGAAGUAAUUCUUGAUUCUUAGAUCAACUAGAGAACUCUCAGGAAACUUCCUCUCUUCCCACCAAAAAAUAAUUAUAUAGUUAUCCUUGGGCGAUCUUGAUUCUUAAUUAGUACACUCACGUUCCCUGUGGAAAAUCGAUACUCUGGAAUACUCCCGGGUGAAGGCUACAUCGGUAUCCGUGCGCUUGCGGAUUUUUCUGUUUGCGUUUAAAAUACCCAACAAGCUUUCUAGCGCCGUUGCCGGGGAACGGUAGCUGUGCUAGUUCCGAACCAAGUCGUCCGUGUAUCCUUUUUCUUUUCCUUUUUUACCACACUCACCUUAUCAUUUUCACCGUACCACAUGGAUUUCACUCUAAGCAUUAAUGAGCAUGGAAUUUAUUUCAUAGCCACUUCAUUUACUCCAUGCUCAUAUGCAACAUCUUCACAAUCCAUUGGUCUCUCCAACAUCACCACAUUCAAGAUCUCCAACCCCCUCUUCCUUUCUAUUUAUAAAAACUUUAAAAGGGCGGUUGUCGAUGCAUAUGUCUAUAAUAAAUUUUGCAGAUCUCGUUGAGUUGAUCUUGAUAUAGGUCAGCGUUGGAGGGGAAACCACUUCACUGACAUAAAUUGAUGGUUUUCCAAGGACAAGCUUAGUGUCCUAAAACAAGCACUGAUCAGAUUGCAACAUGAGUUUUUAAUUAUUUGCAAUAUUACCUUGUGUGUUGAGCAUAUAAGGAUAAUUGUAAAAAUAUUCCUUCGGGUAUUCUUGUCACUAACCUUUCCAGGAUUAGAGCAAGAAGAUCGGAUGAAUGACAAGCAUAAGGUAUGUCCAACCAAUCAUCAUACAACAUUGAAUUAAAUUCAUCCAAACUUGAAUUUUACAAAAUUCAAGCUUGGGGGAGUACUUUACAUAAAAACAUCCUUUGCCAUGUUGCUAUGUUGGUUGUCCCUACCUUUGAGACAUGCUCAAUUUGUUAAACACUAAUCAUUCUACUUCAUCUCCACUUGAGUAGAUCUCUAUAAAUGCUCUCAUGCUACCUUUAUUUGCUUUAGUAUAUGUCUAGGUUUGGAGUAGUUUCAUUUAUCUCUUAAUUAAGCAUGGUGCUUAGUUUAGGAAUGAUGAUCUUACUUCCAAAGGAUUUUAAAUUAAGUAUGGCGCUUAGGUUAAAAUGCCCUCCUAAAUCAAAUUAGACAAGGUGUUUAGGUUGAUUUUUUGAGCCGAUAGUAUGCUAUAGUAGAUAUUGGUUAUUUUGUUGGACUAACCCCUGCAGGAAAACUUUCAAUAUCGACCUGGGAAGUCCUGAGAUAAACUCACAUUGGAGACAAAGAGAGAGGCACAUGAAGUUUAACAAUUUACACAAGGAAGGCAUAGCUCACAAGAGAUGAUCUAUGGAGGGUGCCACAAACAUGAUGCACAACCGCUAAGAAAGGAAAGAUUCCACAAGGUGAUAAUGUACCAUCACUCUUCAAGUAAGGUAACAUCUUAAGGUACUUGUCUAUCACUUUUAUAAGUUUCUCCUUGGUUCUAGCGUUCACAUGAAUAAAAGAGAAACAUGUAUGAUUUACAACUCUAGAUUAACCAACCCAAUCGAUUCAAUAUGUUUAGUCCUUCCACCUUUGUGACCUCACACUCCUAAUCAUAUGAACUAAAAUGUUGCACACUCAAUCUUUGGAAAAUGAUAGUCAUGUAAAGAAAAAAAUAUUUACUUAGAUAGAUUAUCUUUCUAUAAGGUUGAGUGAUCUGAUCUGACAAAUGUUUUAAAUACUACACUCAUGAUCUUAUUAUCCAUCAACUUGGUCUUGCUCAUUAUGCUUAAGGAUAGAGAAGAAUAAAUACACUUUUGGUUCUGUUGGUGUUUUCCACCAACAGGGCCCAUGCACUUGAUCUCUGCCUUGUCUCUAUGAGCAGGUACACUUUAAGCAAAACAUGGAAGAGUUUUACAACUCCCAGACUCCACCAAGUGAAGAACCUAGAUCUACGAGCACAAACACACUGGAGAGACUGGACACUCAGGCAAUCACUGCCCUAAGAUGCUUGAGGACGUAACUACUGGAGUAACCCCGUUGUGGAAGUAAUUACUGACCUUCUGCCGGUCAAGAGAGGCGAUCCAGGACGCCCCGUCAUCCCGAUCUCCAUCGGCAUGGAGGACUUCCCAGAAGCACUCUGCGACUUUGGCUCCAGCGUCAACAUUAUGCUCAGGAACCUCUGCGUCCGAGUUGGUACCUUGUACGCCCCAGCAGACUUCGUGGUGAUAGAGACUGAUACUGAUGAGAGGGCACCCAUCAUCCUAGGGAGGCCAUUCCUGAACACCUCGGGAGCUGUCAUCCACGCUAGUGCUGCCAAGAUCAGUGUCUACAUCAAGGGAAGGAAGGAGACAUUUUCCUUCAAGAACAAAACUACACCAAUCUCAGAGCAAUCCUAACAUGAACCAAGGAAAGGACCAACAGGAGGAACAGGAACAAGCAAUUGUGGACUGAGUCAGCUAAGAUGGUCACUGCUGCUCAAGGAGGUCAAGAUCGUCAACUCAAGUCACCUUUCUUGAUCAAGAAGGAUGACCCUGGUGUUCCAAGCAUCGAGUGCACAAUCAACGGAUAUUUUUUUCAGAAGACACUCUACGACACCGGAUCUGACGUCAACAUAAUGGCCGCAGUCACUUAUCAGCUCCUGCAUGGAACCAUGCCCCUACAACCGACAUACAUUCAGCUCCAGAUGGCAGAUCAGACAUUCCGUAAGGUUAUUGUCAUGGGAGAAGAUGAGUACAAUCCACCCGUCAUCCUUGGAAGACCGUUUCUCAGCACCGUUAAAGCAAUCAUCUACAUUGGAACCGGAGAAGUCCACAUGAAUUUCCCCUCUGAGAAGGUACGCCGCUAUUUUACUGACCCUAACUAUAUAGUUGAAGACUCUAAGCAGGUCAGGACAAGAAGAAGACGACGCAACCGCAACCAGAGGAGGCAAAUCAUCAAGGACGCAUGAGCAGACUACGAAGGAGAAGUAGUAAGGUCUGAAGACAUACAGCUUGAUCAGAACUGUCCUGAGGAGACCGUAGCACCGAGUCAGGUGUGUAGAGAGAAGAUAGUUAUACAUGAAGAGCAGGCGCUGCCGGAACCACCAACUACGCCAUCCAGCGAAUCCCAGGACGACUGAGAAAACGGAGAGUCCCGUUCGCAGGACUUAAAAAAAAACACCGAACGCCUUGCCAAGAGGUAAACUUGGUAGUUAUCCUUUUUCCCUUUCAAUUAUUUAAAAUAGUUUGCUUAGUUAAUCAGGUUCAUAUCAUCUUAAAAAAAAAUAAUAAAAAAAAUGUAAAAAAUAGUAAGCCCCACGUGAGUAUGCUCAUGGCAUAAAACCCAUAAGUACAUUCACUGUGGUGGCAUAAAAAUAAAAUAAAUAUAUUCCUGUCCUAUAAAAAUAAAAAUAUAAAAAUAAAUUUAUGAUCCUACUAAAGAGAGUAACAUUUAUUGAGGAGGCUCAACAUGAUAAAGGCUAGGUAUUUACGCUAACCCUUAACCAGUUCCACAAAGCUUUGUUGUCUAUUUGAGCUUUACAGAAUUCAAGGAUCAAAGAAGACUAGCAGACGGAGGACAUCCUAAUCACUGUCAGGGUGCUGCUGACAUUCAAAUACACCUCCACCACCUGUUAGCUACAUCAGAAGAAAUUACGUCAAAAUCCAGCUUGGGGGAGAGCACCCCCAUUUAUCCAGCUAAGUAUUCUACUCACGUUUAUAUUUUACUCAAAUAAUAAAAAGAUGCAUAAUCAUAAAAACCCAAAUAAAGAUUUUGAGCUUAUAUAUAUCUUUGCUUAGUUUGAUAAAUAAAUAAAUAAAUAAAGUUUGCUAUGAACCCUCAUGAUAAGCUUUCACAUGGAAAUGAUGAAUAGUUGCUCUACCAUGACUAGUUCUAAAAAUUGAAAUCUCUCUCAAGUUUAGGCAUGACUGUUAUUAAUUAAGAUUUGCUCUAAACCUGAACUUGUGGGGAGAGUACUUGAUCUAAAGUCUAAGUCGUUAACGGAUACGAUAUGGGAAGGUUGAGCUGCUGUUUAUCUGUUCCUAGAUAUGCUAGAAUUCUGGAGAAUUUUAUCUUUGAAAAUCUUUAAAUUGUUGCAUGAUGAGUUCCUGUAUGAUGAGAGUUUAAAUUCCUACCACAGCCAUAUAUACAUGCUUGCUAGACUAUGAACCACACAUUUACUUUACUACUUAUGAGCAUUGAGUGUGGUCAAGCUGUGUAGACCCUUAGGAGCUUGUCAUGUGGUUAAAAUCAAGAUUCACUUGCAUGUUCACUCACACAUGCUGCUUCUACUCCGGAAGUAUGCAUCCACAUAUAUCCACCCAUUUCCAUCUCCAGAACCACACAAAAAAACAUUCUACUCCUAAUCCGGAAGAGAAUGGCCAAAAACAAUUCUAUUUUCCCCUGUGAAAUAAAUGCUCAAGUUAUCUUGGUUACUACCACUUGCUACAUUAUUUCAAGAGAUGAGUGCUCUAAAAAAAAGAAAAAAAAAGUAUACGAGGAAAUAAAAAGGGGCAAGUGCCCGGAACCUCAAAAGAAAAGAAAAAGUGAGACGAGAGGUAAAAAUGGACAAGUGUCCGACAGUAGAAUUAGGGGUACAAGAUACCCACCUGAGAGAGAAAAAGAAAAAGAAUAUAUAGAGCAUCUCAUUCUCCUCAAAAGUUUCAAAAGAGUAAGAAAGAUAUGUAUCCCCUCAAAAGAGCACAAGUGGAAUUAGACUUUCACCAUUGUUAUCACCAUCAUCACCAUACACCAUUCAUUCACCACACAUGCACAUCUUGAUUUGACUUAUUGACUUGUUCUUCUGGAUCCAUGGUUUGACUAUGAAAUAAAUGUCUUGUAAGUAUGUAUUACCUGUCUCCCACCUAUGAGCUCCAGAUAUCAAAAGCCUUAUUAGAGUAGGGUGAGAGAGAAGGCAAUGCCACUAUGCCUUAUACCACAAAUACCACAUACUUUGAGAGAAGGCAUACACCAUUAAUGCCUUGGUAAGGAUCCAGAAAUACCACAAAAGAGAGACUAGAGAGAGUCAUACAAGGAAUCUCUGAGUUUUAUUUGAAAAUCUGCAAAAACUCCAGAGCUAUAGCUGAUCAAGAAUAAGAGACAUGGUGCUUGACUAGACCGUUCUAUCUUUUAACUACUCAAGACAGAAGUGACGGUUACAAGUCCCAUGGUGAAAGGUAAAUGAGUAAGUUUUAAGUCUUAACAGUUUACUCUCACCAGAGAUGAGAUCUUGUUUAAACGCAUGUGUAUCUUUAAGUUAUGAAAACACUGCAGAAACUCUUGAGUCCAUCUUUGCUCAGGGACGAGCAAAGGUUAAGCUUGGGGGAGCUUGUUGACGGUCCUUAAUGCUCACAUUUAACCAUCAACUAAUCAUAGAAAAGGAUCUAAAUGGAACCAGCACCUAGACUUAGGGUUUUAUCUGACAGAAUUCCACAAGUUUUGGUGUUUGUCUAUUUCUGCAGGGGGUUAUCAGGAAAUAUGGAAGAAAGGCCCACACGUCGGGUUUACAUAGAGAUAUUAACGUGCCGCACAAUUAUCUACCAUCUAGAAGACUCCAAAAGCCACGAGAUCGAAGCGGAGGCGAAACGGGGCCAGAGACAGGGCGCCCGCCCUGUCCUACUGGGCGCCCGCCCACCUCCUGAGUCCAAUCAGGACUCUGCUUUGCGGGAGAUCUCCACCGACCUAAAGGAUCAAGGAUAACCGUUCAAUCUAAGUCGGUUUGAUCCAACGGCCCAUAUUCACUUGAAGGGACUAUAAAACCAGACCCCCUGGCCCCUGGAGAUCAUACCUCUUCUACAGAAUCAAAGCUAGGGUUUCAAUUCUUCAUCCAAGUAGAGAGGAUCCCUCUAGUUCUUCUAGUUCUACCUCUAGUUCAUCUAGAUCUAGUUCUAGUUCAUCUAGUUCUAGUUCUAGUUCCUCUAGUUCUAGUUCUAGUUAGUUCUAGUUGUAAUCUAGAAAAUAGGGAGAGAGAAGAGGAGAGCGGAGGAGGAGCCGGAUCUGUCGGAUCUUCCUCAACAUUGUACUUUUGCAGCAUCUGGUUCGUUCUUCAUCGUUCUCCAGAUUCUUCAAUUCAUAAUUCCUGAGUUCUUUAAUUACUUUUAUUUACAUUCAAGUUAUUUAUUGGAUUCCCGCUUGCAUCAAGUGCUCUAGUCUUUAUAACACUAGAGUAGUAAUUAAUAGAUUAGACGUGGUGUUUAGUCUUGCGAUUACCUGGAAUUGCACCCAAUCCUACGGAUUGUUGUGGUAGCCCUAGGGUAGUGACAGCCCUAACGGUCAACGUAUUCCACCACGUUCAGAUCGGUGUUUGUAGGACCGUAGUCGGAGCUUCCUAGCCCCCUUCUCAUCUCUUUCUGUGGUUAGUGUUCUGAUGUCCCGAAAUAGAUAAUCUUGAAGUAAUUCUUGAUUCUUAGAUCAACUAGAGAACUCUCAGGAAACUUCCUCUCUUCCCACCAAAAAAUAAUUAUAUAGUUAUCCUUGGGCGAUCUUGAUUCUUAAUUAGUACACUCACGUUCCCUGUGGAAAAUCGAUACUCUGGAAUACUCCCGGGUGAAGGCUACAUCGGUAUCUGUGCGCUUGUGGAUUUUUCUGUUUGCGUUUAAAAUACCCAACAGCUGCUCUGUCAAGUUCUCACUGACCGGGAGAGACGGCGAUUCGAAUCGAAUUCCUAUCCAGCUGGAGGGUUAUUCCUAGCACUCACCCAAGCAUCCCCCGUCGGAGAGCCAACGGGUCACCUUUGGUACGACUGAGGAAUCGCGGCUCCGAUCAGCGCCACACUCCCAGGGCUACCACUUUGCUAGGGAGGUCAGGAAUUUUAACUCACCUGCCUUUGGGCUUACGCCAACGGUCCCCCGCACACCGCACUUCCUCCGGUAGUGCGCACUUUAUACUUGCCGGUCUUCCGGCCUGAGUCAUACUACUCGGCUUCACGGUCGGAACGAGUUAUCCGGCCAACUAAGUGUUAGGCAUGCGUUCAACAUGACAAGAGGACGUACAACGAUCGGUCCUUAGCUGCCACAGACGGAGUUACUACAAACUUGCAAAACUCCGCCCGGCUUAAGUCAACUUAAUCAGGUUCCAUCCACGAUAGCACAUAUAGACCAUCGUGAUCCAACAUAACCCUAUAUCGCGCAGGUGACAGGAAAUCACCCGACUUCUACCGUUUAAGCAUGGCUAAGCUGCUACUCGAUCCUAACUCUAUAACCAGGGUAUGGUGAGUUAUCUGGACAAGGAUGGAGUAAAAUGCAGCAAAGGUUUCAUCACAACUCCUAUACUUAAUGCACCAAUAGAUAUAACAUAUUAAGUAAACUUCCAAAAGGGAGGCUUAGAAUGCUCUGGGGCUUGCCUUUCACGAACGAAGCGGGCUCGUGACUUGGACACUCAACUUCUUCUUCUGGCUCCUCGGGUCCGACUUGCUGGACCUCCACCUCUUGGCUGCCCUCCUGGCCUUUGGGAUUCGCUUGCAGAUCGAAGGAAACUGCUGCGUCCGAUGCACCUAUUGCAUGCUCAGUGAAUAACAAGGUGUGCAUACAAAAGAAUGAAUGCUUGAUGCAUAAGCGACUCACUGGACAGUCAUUUACGGAGCAAAAGUUAUAACAAGUCCACACAAGUUAACAAGUUAUCCUAACCCAAAACCUAUCAUGAUAGCACAUAACAGCAAACAACAUAGAACGAGAGUAGCUCAGUAAACAGAUCAUAACUAUUACCACAAAGAUCCAACCAAUCUAAGUGAGGACAUUCUGGAAAGCUUACUACAUUUCAUCUUUAAACAUCACAGCAAGAUUCAUACAUUAAACCAGUCAUUUAAACAAAGUUCCAGGUUCUGUCCCAGAAAAAUAGAGAGCACCUAUUUCUGGAACCUAACUUGGAACAGCCAUAACUUUUAAACUACUAGGCCAAAUGACCCCAAAUUUAAACCACAGCUAGUUCAAUAAGUUUACAACAACUUUGAUUUAGACAAGUUGCCCAGAAAACCAAAUCAUCAUUAAGCAAACAUUAAAUUACUCCCUUGCUGUCCAGAACAGCUUUUAACCCACUAAUUAAUUAUUUAAUGACAUGACCAAAACACAAACCAUGCCAACCACAUGGCUUAUGACCACAAGCAUAUUGUAAGAUAACCAGAACACCAGAGGAUAACCCCCAAACAUUCACUUAACAAGGCAUUUAUUAAUUAAUUCUAGAAAAGAGCAUAAUUACAAGAUACUAGUCAAAGUGCUCAGAAAAAUCUACAAAAAUUACAGAAGCACAAGUAUAGCAUCAAAGCAUCACCAUAAAAAUUUCAGAGCAAUUGCACAUACCAAAUUAAAGAUAUACAUUUAACAUGUAACUAGGUGCUUAUUUCAUAAAUUCAUAAACAUGACUUAUAUGGUGUCAAACAACAGAUUUCAGAUUAUUUAUAUCUUAGCAAUACCAUAAACAGGUUUACUACCAAAGUAGAGCACCAGCAUAAGUACCAAUUAUUUUAUAUAAUUUAAUCAAGGAAACAAGCCACAUUUCAAUCAUAAAUUACAUAUCAAAGUUGCAUUAAUCCAAAAAUCAUGAAAUAUUUAUCAUAACAUUAUAGUAUCACACAGAGGCUACCAUAAAAUUUUCAUGGCAAACUAAACAGUAUAACCAGAGAUAUGAAUUUAUCCAUGAAUAACAAGAUUAAAUCCUUAAUAAAUAUUUUCCCAGAAAACAUGGUUCAUUUUAUAUUUUUAUUAAAAACGAGCUAUCUCAAUGAAUACCACAAAAUUGGUUUCACAAUUUUUGGAUCUCAGAAACAGGAGAUAUGAUUUUUACAAAACAGCUCAAACCCUAAUUUAAACAAAGGAGGAGGAGAGACUGACAGAAGGGACCCGCGAGUCAACGGACCCCACCUGCCAGCGACCCAGAAGCAGAGGCGCGACUUGACCGCCGGAGAUCUCGUCGACGGAGAGGUCUCGGCGCUGGCCAAGGGCACCAUCGUGUUCUCCACAGCAUUCCGCAUCGAGUGGUACCCAAAACCCUAACUCUACUGGCCUCAGGGCACCUCGCUGUCACAGAACCGACCAAAUUAUAAGAGUUCAAGUGCAGAAACGAUCGUCAAGCAAUCAAGUUUCUAGACUUGAGCGCAUAUAAUCCCGGUAGUCAAUCGAAAUCGCGAAGGACUUCAAACCAACUCGCAACAAACCAAGAUCGUAAUAGUUCAACAUAAACACAACGAUUGUUACAUAGUCAUUCAUUGCCGUCGAAGCGGCACCACAUCGGAGUAUUAGGUUAUUACAACACAUGUUCGAAGUAGCGGAAGCAAAAUAAGUACACACACUUGUUCAAAGUUCAGUUCACAAGUUUGUUACUGCCAGAGUCUAGGUCGUCCUUCCAAAAGCAUCAUAGACGAGAGAUUAGAGAACCGUGCCCAACGGUUAGUCCUCAUCCCCAGCGGGAUGGAGACAGGUCUUGCAGAAACCGUCAUAGAAGAUAUCAUCUGCAACAGGUGGGAAUAAACCCUGAGUACGAGGAUGUACUCAGCUAGACUUACCCGUCUAGGAAAACAUAAAAGACACCAAGGAUCAUGCAAGGCUGAAUUUUUAAGUGGAGCUGGUUGACUCACCUUUUUGCCAAAAGCUUAACUUACAACUAAAUCAUUUUAAGAGCAUCAAAUUUAUUUAUCAUCAGCCUACCACUAGAUUAGCACCUGUACUACAACACAUCAUUAAUUUAUUACAAACAAUAGUAACCAUAUCAAUUUUAUCACAUGUUCUUAUUGCUAUCAUCAUUAUCAUGAACCGAGUUCGUUAGUGAAUGCUACGUUUGCCGCUGCUCUGUCAAGUUCUCACUAACCGGGAGAGACGGCGAUUCGAAUCGAAUUCCUAUCCAGCUGGAGGUUUAUUCCUAGCACUCACCCAAGCAUCCCCUGCCGGAGAGCCAAAAGGAUCACCUUUGGUACGACUCAGAAAUCGCGGCUCCGAUCAGCGCCGCACUCCCAGGGCUACCACUCUGCCAGGGAGGUCAGGAAUUUUAACUCACCUGCCUUUGGACUUACGCCAAUGGUCCCCCGCACACCGCACUUCCUCCGGUAGUGCGCACUUUAUACUUGCCGGUCUUCCGGCCUGAGUCAUACUACUCGGCUUCGCGGUCGGAACGAGUUAUCCGGCCAACUAAGUGUCAGGCAUGCGUUCAACAUGACAAGAGGACGUACAACGAUCGGUCCUUAGCUGCCACAGACGGAGUUACUACACACUUGCAAAACUCCGCCCGGCUUAAGUCAAAUUAACCAGGUUCCAUCCACGAUAGCACAUAUAGACCAUCGCGACCCGACACAACCCUAUAUCGCGCGGAUGACAGGAUAUCACCCGACUUCUACCGAUUAAAGCAUAGCUAAGCUGCUACUCGAACCUAACUCUACAACCAGGGAGGGUAAGUUAUCUGGACAAGGAUAGAGUAGAAUGCAGCAACAGUUUCAUCACAACUCCUAUACGUAAUGCAUCAAUAGAUAUAACGUAUUAAGUAACUUUCGAAAAUAGAGGAGGCUUAAAAUGCUCCGGGGCUUGCCUUUCACGAACGAUGCCGGCUCGUGACUCGGGCACUCAACUUCUUCUUCGGGCUCCUCGAGUCCGGCUUGCUGGACCUCCACCUCCUGGCUGCCUUCCUGGCCUUCGGGGUUCGCUUGGAGCUCGAAGGAAACUGCCACGUCCGGUGCACCUAUUGCAUGCUCGAUGAAUGAGAAGGUGCACAUGCUACAGAUGAAUGCUUAAUAGCACAAGCAACUCACUGGACACUCAUUUACGGAACAAGAGUUAUACUAACUCACAAGAAUAAACAAGUUAUCAUAACCCAAAACCUAUCAUGGCAAUAAAGCAGCAAGCAACAUAAAACAAGUAUGCUCAGUAAAUAAAUCAUAAGUACAGAUAGACAGGUCCAACAAACAUGAGUAAGGACAUUUCUGGAAAGCUUAGGAAAUUAUCUACAACUCAUCUUUAAACAUGACAGCAAGAUUCAAACAUUAAACUAGUCAUUUUAACAAAGUUCCAGGUUCUGUUCCAGAAAAACAGAGAACCCCUAUUUCUGGAACCUAACUUGGAACAGCUGUAACUUUUAAACUACUUGGCCAAAUGACCUCAAAUUUGAACCACAGUUAGUUCAACAAGUUUAGAACAACUUUGUUUUAUACAAGUUUCACAGAAAGUCAAAUUAUCAUUAAGCAAAGUUAAAUUAGUCACUUGCUGUCCAGACAGCAUUUAACCCUAUAGUUAAUUAUUUAAUGACAUGAUCAAGACACAAACUAAGCCAACCAUAAGGCUCAUGGGCACAAACAUAUCACAAGGUCACCAGAUCAUCAGUUGAAAACCCCAAAACAAUUACUUAACAAGGCAUUUGUUAAUUAAUUUUAGGUAAGGCAUAUUUACAAGAUAUUAGUUAAAGUGCUCAGAAAAAUCUACAAAAAUUACAGAGGCACCAGUAUAACAUCAGAUCAACACCAUAAAAAUUUCAGGACCAUUGCACAUGCCAAUUUAAAGAUAUGCAUUUAACAUGUAUCAAGGCAUUUAUUUCAUAAAUUCAUAGACAUGACUCAUAUGGUGUCAAACAACAGAUUUCAGAUUAUUUAUAUCUUAGGAAUGCCAUAAACAAGUUUACCACCAAAAUAGAGCACCAGCAUAAGCACCAAUUAUUUUAUGUGAUUUAAUUAAAGAAACAAGCCAUAUUUCAAACACAAAUUACAUAUCACAACUGCAGUGCUCCAAAAAUCAUGAAAUAAUUAUCAGAGCACUCUAAUGCCAUGCAAAGACUACCAUAAAAUUUUCAAAGCAAACUAAGCAGUAUAACCAGAGAUAUGCAUUUAUCCAUGAAUAACAAGGUUAAAUCCUUAAUAAAUAAUUUCUCAGAAAACAUGAUUCAUUUUAUAUUUUUAUUAAAUACUAGCCAUCUCAAGAAACAACACAAAAUUUGUUUCACAAUUUUUGGAUCACUAGAACUAGAGAUAUGAUUUUUACAAAAUCAGCUCAAACUCUGAUUUAAACAAAGGAGAAAGAGGGACUGACAGAGGGGACCCGCGCGUCAACGGACCCCACCUGCCAGUGACACCGAAGCAGAGGCGCGGCUUGACCGCCGGAGAUCUCGCCGACGGCGAGGUCUCGGCGCUGGCCAAGGGCACCAUUGUGCUCCCCACUGGAUUCCGCAUCUAGCGGUACCCAAAACCCUAACUCUACCGAGCUCUAGGUACCUCGCCCUCGCGAAUGGCGGCACGGCGGUGGUGCGCGGCCGACUGCCGGCGUCUCUGGCCGGAGACAGGGCAGAAGAGAACGAGGACGAGCAACAGCAAGACCUAGCGAAGCUUUUGGGACAAGAAUGAGAAGAAAUGGCGGACUACAGAGCCCUGGCCACGACGCCGGUGGCCAUGGCGGAACUCCGGCGAGGUAAGCUCGCGUCGGAGCAGGCAAUGCGGGCUCACCGAGGCUCGGCAGUCGCAACCAGCUCGACGACAGUGGAGAGGAGAGGCUUGCGGAGCGCUGGACCGAGCUGCUUGGCCGGAGACACGGAGAUGCGCGCGCGCGAGCUCGCCGAAGCAACGGCGGCGACGCGGAAACGACGACGCGCGAGAGAGAGAGGACACCGGGAGCGGAAAUGGCUCUGUCCACGCGACCGGGGCGCCGGGGCGAGAUGAAGGACGCGCGGAGGACUGACGGGCGGGGCCAACGGCGACGUACGGACGCCACGGGUCCAGACACGCGGCACACCGGCGAGCUCCCCCUGUCUGAACGACGACGCGAUUCAGUCUCCCCAAACCGACUGAAACUCGAUUUUGCCCAACGAUUUACUCCCUAAUCACUCGAUGAUUUUGCUGGCUAAUUGCUCCAUGCUAGAGAGCUACACGAGUACUCCAACAUUGCUUACAAGAUCAAGGCUUGAUUCGCUCUAGAAUUCAAACGGGAAGGUGAAGAACACCCCCUCGAGCAAACUGCAAAGCCCCCAGGACUUAGAAAAUUUCUAAGUGUGGAAAACAGCCCCAAAACUGCCUUGUGGGCCACUUUUGAGCUAUUUGUGAUCAUUUUCAUGAGAUGGCCAUAAAACAAUUUUUGUUCCUUAUAAAAUUUGCUACAACUUUGCUGUAGGAAGUUUUGACAUGCAAACAUUUUAUGAAACACUUUUUAAAAGCCUAAGCAAAAGAGGUUCCUAGGGCCUAUUUGCAUAAGUAAGACUUAAGUGAUUAUUUUGGAGAAAUGAUCAACAUGAACAUUGUUCCCAAGAAUAAGUUAAGCAUAGAUAAGCUAUUUACCAAGGCAUUAAGCACCAACACAAGCAUUGUUCACUCAAACAUAAGCAUAGAAAGCCUAUCUAAGCCAUUUAAAACACAUUUUUGCAAAGGAUGCCAUGUCCCAAGAUAGAUGAUGAUCAUGGAUGCUUUUGAAUACAUGAUGAUGCUCAUGCUAUGCACAUGUUUGAUGCAACCAUAACACUGGGGUGUUACAGCCCUCCCCCCUUACAAAAAUCUCGUCCCGAGAUUUGAAAGCUUACUGAUUUUCGAAGAAGGUUUUGUAAACUUCUUUUAGAUAAUCCUCCGUCUCCCAAGUGGCAUCUUCUUCCCCGUGGUUACUCCACAACACUUUGUAGAGCUUAACCACCCGAUUACGCGUUUCCCGUUCCUUGCGAUCAAGAAUCGCUACGGGUUUCUCCUCAUACACCAAGUCUGACUUCAACUUGAUAUCUCGAAUUUCCACUCGUUCCUCCGGUACACGAAGGCACUUCUUCAAUUGUGAUACGUGGAAAACGGGGAAGAUAGCUCGAAGCGCAACUGGGAGUUGAACUUUGUAUGCCACAUUCCCUUUCUUUUCGAGAAUCCGAUAAGGUCCCACAUAGCGAGGCGCAAGCUUUCGCUUGACUCCGAACCUUUGUACACCCUUCAUCGGAGACACCUUGAUGUACACAUGGUCACCGACUGAAAACUCAAUCGGCUUCCUUCUCUUGUCAGCAUAACUUUUCUGACGGGCUUGAGCAGCUUCCAAGUGUUGCUGGAUAACACGGACUUUCUGCUCUGCUUCGUUCACGAAAUCGAUGCCGUAGUAUCUUCGCUCUCCAGCUUCUACCCAAUUCAACGGGGUUCGACACUUUCGACCGUACAAGGCUUCAAAUGGAGCCAUUUUGAUACUCUCCUGAUAACUGUUGUUGUAGGAGAACUCAGCUAAUGGCAACCACUUGACCCAAGAACCUUUUGAUGAGAGAGCACAUGCCCUCAACAUAUCUUCAAGGAUCUGGUUAACUCGUUCAGUUUGACCUGCUGUUUGGGGAUGAUAAGCAGAGCUGCGGACCAAGUGAGUGCCAAUCUGCUCAUGAAGACAUUCCCAAAAACGAGCAGUGAACUGUGGUCCACGAUCAGAUAUGAUUGUUCGAGGCACACCAUACUGACGAACAAUGUGCUCGAAAUACAACUCCGCAUACUGAUGAGGACGAUAAUCAGUUCGGACUGGGAUAAAUCGAGCAACCUUGGUCAAACGAUCUACCACCACCCAGAUGGAGUCAUAACCCUUCACAGAAGUUGGGAGUCCACUGAUGAAAUCCAUGCUGACUUCUUCCCAUUUCCAACCAGGAAUUGACAAGGGUUGAAGUAAACCAGCUUUCAUGUGAAUAGCCUUCACGCGACAACAAUUGUCACAACGAGCGACAAAAGCCGCUAUCUCCUUUUUCAUCUUUGUCCACCAAAACAAAGGUUUCAGAUCCUGAUACAUCUUGCUACUACCAGGAUGGAUAGACAUUUUGGAUGAAUGAGCUUCAGAUAAGAUCUGAUUUCGCAGCUCGCGGUCUUUUGGGACCACAAGUCGAUCCUUGAACCAAAGAAUUCCGUUUUCAUCAACCCGGAAAUGCUUGGUUUCCUCUUCCUUCAUCUUUCUCUUGAUAUGGUAGAUGCCUACAUCUGUCUGCUGCAACUCGAUGACUCGAUUGCGAAUGGUACUUUCCAGAGAAAUCUGGUUGAGCACAAACGGAUGCAUAAGAUGUGACAACAACGGAUCUUCCACUUGGAUUGAGUGACAGUGCGCUUUCCGACUCAAGGCAUCCGCCACUACGUUUGCCUUGCCCGGAUGAUAGUGCACUUGGAGAUUAUAGUCUUUAAUCAACUCAAGCCACCUUCGCUGCCGCAUGUUCAGUUCAGGUUGAGUGAAGAUAUACUUGAGGCUCUUAUGAUCGGUGUAGAUAUUACACAGAUUACCCAGCAGAUAAUGCCUCCAGAUUUUCAAAGCAUGAACAACUGCUGCCAAUUCUAAGUCAUGAGUGGGGUAAUUGACCUCAUGCUUUCGAAGUUGGCGCGAGGCAUACGCGAUAACGCGACCUUCCUGCAUCAACACACAGCCUAAACCAAUGCCUGAUGCGUCACAAAAGACAUCGAAAGGCUUCUCGAUAUCAGGUUAAGCUAGGACAGGAGCUGAUGUCAACAGUGUCCUCAACUUGUGGAAUGCCUCUUCACACUCAGGUGUCCACACAAACUUUUCAUCUUUCUGAAGUAGACGAGUCAUAGGCUUGGAUAUUUUGGAAAACUCCGGAAUAAAUCGACGGUAAUACCCAGCCAGACCGAGAAAACUCCGAACCUCGUGUACCGAAGUUGGAACUUUCCAAUCCAGCACCUCUCGCACCUUAGCCGGAUCCACCGAUAUGCCUUCUUCAGAUAAGACAUGGCCCAAGAAAGGUACUUUCUUUAGCCAAAACUCGCAUUUGCUAAACUUAGCAUAAAGCUGAUGUUCGCGCAAACGCGACAACACGACACGCAGAUGCUCUGCAUGCUCAUCUUCAUUGCAAGAGUAUACCAAGAUAUCGUCAAUGAAGACCACUACAAACUUGUCCAGUUCGGGCAUGAACACCGAAUUCAUAAGAUACAUGAAAUGAGCAGGUGCAUUCGUAAGCCCGAAGGACAUGACAAGGUACUCAUACAACCCAUACCUCGUCGAGAAAGCCGUCUUAGGGAUAUCUUCAGGACGGAUCUUGAUCUGAUGGUACCCAGAUCGCAAAUCAAUCUUGGAGAAUACCUUAGCUUUAGACAACUGAUCAAACAAGAUGUCAAUGCAAGGAAGAGGAUAUUUGUUCUUGAUAGUCACUGCAUUUAGGGGACGAUAGUCCACACACAUGCGCAAAGACUGAUCCUUCUUCUUCACAAAGAUAGCCGGACAACCCCAAGGAGAAGAACUAGGACGAAUAAGACCCUUCUGCAACAACUCACUUAGUUGGGUCUUAAGUUCAGCUAAUUCAUUGGGCGGCAUCCUAUAAGGUCUUCUAGAGAUCGGAGCGGUGCCUGGAAUCAAUUCAAUUUUGAACUCCACAUCCCGAUCCGGAGGAAGCCCGGNNNNNNNNNNNNNNNNNNNNNNNNNNNNNNNNNNNNNNNNNNNNNNNNNNNNNNNNNNNNNNNNNNNNNNNNNNNNNNNNNNNNNNNNNNNNNNNNNNNNNNNNNNNNNNNNNNNNNNNNNNNNNNNNNNNNNNNNNNNNNNNNNNNNNNNNNNNNNNNNNNNNNNNNNNNNNNNNNNNNNNNNNNNNNNNNNNNNNNNNNNNNNNNNNNNNNNNNNNNNNNNNNNNNNNNNNNNNNNNNNNNNNNNNNNNNNNNNNNNNNNNNNNNNNNNNNNNNNNNNNNNNNNNNNNNNNNNNNNNNNNNNNNNNNNNNNNNNNNNNNNNNNNNNNNNNNNNNNNNNNNNNNNNNNNNNNNNNNNNNNNNNNNNNNNNNNNNNNNNNNNNNNNNNNNNNNNNNNNNNNNNNNNNNNNNNNNNNNNNNNNNNNNNNNNNNNNNNNNNNNNNNNNNNNNNNNNNNNNNNNNNNNNNNNNNNNNNNNNNNNNNNNNNNNNNNNNNNNNNNNNNNNNNNNNNNNNNNNNNNNNNNNNNNNNNNNNNNNNNNNNNNNNNNNNNNNNNNNNNNNNNNNNNNNNNNNNNNNNNNNNNNNNNNNNNNNNNNNNNNNNNNNNNNNNNNNNNNNNNNNNNNNNNNNNNNNNNNNNNNNNNNNNNNNNNNNNNNNNNNNNNNNNNNNNNNNNNNNNNNNNNNNNNNNNNNNNNNNNNNNNNNNNNNNNNNNNNNNNNNNNNNNNNNNNNNNNNNNNNNNNNNNNNNNNNNNNNNNNNNNNNNNNNNNNNNNNNNNNNNNNNNNNNNNNNNNNNNNNNNNNNNNNNNNNNNNNNNNNNNNNNNNNNNNNNNNNNNNNNNNNNNNNNNNNNNNNNNNNNNNNNNNNNNNNNNNNNNNNNNNNNNNNNNNNNNNNNNNNNNNNNNNNNNNNNNNNNNNNNNNNNNNNNNNNNNNNNNNNNNNNNNNNNNNNNNNNNNNNNNNNNNNNNNNNNNNNNNNNNNNNNNNNNNNNNNNNNNNNNNNNNNNNNNNNNNNNNNNNNNNNNNNNNNNNNNNNNNNNNNNNNNNNNNNNNNNNNNNNNNNNNNNNNNNNNNNNNNNNNNNNNNNNNNNNNNNNNNNNNNNNNNNNNNNNNNNNNNNNNNNNNNNNNNNNNNNNNNNNNNNNNNNNNNNNNNNNNNNNNNNNNNNNNNNNNNNNNNNNNNNNNNNNNNNNNNNNNNNNNNNNNNNNNNNNNNNNNNNNNNNNNNNNNNNNNNNNNNNNNNNNNNNNNNNNNNNNNNNNNNNNNNNNNNNNNNNNNNNNNNNNNNNNNNNNNNNNNNNNNNNNNNNNNNNNNNNNNNNNNNNNNNNNNNNNNNNNNNNNNNNNNNNNNNNNNNNNNNNNNNNNNNNNNNNNNNNNNNNNNNNNNNNNNNNNNNNNNNNNNNNNNNNNNNNNNNNNNNNNNNNNNNNNNNNNNNNNNNNNNNNNNNNNNNNNNNNNNNNNNNNNNNNNNNNNNNNNNNNNNNNNNNNNNNNNNNNNNNNNNNNNNNNNNNNNNNNNNNNNNNNNNNNNNNNNNNNNNNNNNNNNNNNNNNNNNNNNNNNNNNNNNNNNNNNNNNNNNNNNNNNNNNNNNNNNNNNNNNNNNNNNNNNNNNNNNNNNNNNNNNNNNNNNNNNNNNNNNNNNNNNNNNNNNNNNNNNNNNNNNNNNNNNNNNNNNNNNNNNNNNNNNNNNNNNNNNNNNNNNNNNNNNNNNNNNNNNNNNNNNNNNNNNNNNNNNNNNNNNNNNNNNNNNNNNNNNNNNNNNNNNNNNNNNNNNNNNNNNNNNNNNNNNNNNNNNNNNNNNNNNNNNNNNNNNNNNNNNNNNNNNNNNNNNNNNNNNNNNNNNNNNNNNNNNNNNNNNNNNNNNNNNNNNNNNNNNNNNNNNNNNNNNNNNNNNNNNNNNNNNNNNNCAUGCUGUGGAUGCCCUAAUAAUCCCUGGACACCCACUGCUGUCUACGGUACUCCGCUAUGUCUUCCAAGUCAUUGCGGGCCUUCUGGGUUUGCUCCAGGAGUCUAGCUUGCUUGCGAAACUUGCGAGCACGCUUUUCAGCCUUCCGCUGCAUCUCCUGGGCCCUGUGAACAGCCACCAUCACCUGUGCAUAGGUGCCCUCUCGCUGACUGAUCAGCUUGAGUACAGCCAUCAUAGCACUCAUAGCAGGACUAGAGCUCUCAGCUCUCUCUCCUCUGCCUCGAACCAAAGCACAACCAUCAGCCUGUUUCCACUCCGCCGCUGCUGGGUCAGCACUAGGAAUGGAGGCCGCUGGUCCUCCUGUCAGCUCGUCACCACACCUCUGACAGAUGUCGAGCAGGAUAGUCUGGGCUGCAACCUGAGCUGCCUCCCAAGGAGUCUGCCCAUCUGAGCUGCACGUCCAGCCCGUCCAUGCAGGCUUGUCCCCAUGUGGAGGGACAACUCCCUGCACAGCAAACCACUGGAUCCCUCCUGUGCUCUCCAUCUCCCACCAAGAAUACUGAGGUGGCUCAGUAUACCCAACAGUCCGUAACACUCUCCAGAGCAGGGUAGGAGUGCCAAACUCGUGCAAGAAAGUGUCACUGGGACGAGGCGAAGCGGGUGCGUCCAUCUGUGGAAAGGAAUAGGAAUGCCAUGGGUAAAAGAGGAUCAGUUGAAGCAACAUUUUAAUUAUUUAAAAAGGGACGACAGUGUAAGGGAAGAAACGGACAGAAUGUAUGUAUGAAUGCGACAUGAUGCAUGCACGAACCGUACGUCCUCACAACCUGAGAAAAUAAAUUUUCUAACGGAUAUACGGUGGCAUACAUUCGUCUCUCGAUACGGUAACUAUCGGUUUACACGUGCGCUGUUAGAGUACCUGCAGAAACUUCAUUUCAGCCCAACAGUUCCCAAUAUAUCACUCAAGAAAGCAGUAAACUAAGUGCACAUUGCUUGGACAUACCCAACAUGCCCCAACAAUGACACCACAACUACCCGAGAAUUUAAAUACUCCCCAAUUAAGUUUCUUUCGUGGUUCCAUGGUUUCGACAUGUAACCACUCCAGAAAACCACCGCGAACACUCCCCUAGACCGCCGUUUGGACGAUCAUGCUCUCACAGCUCACACUUACCUGAGCGUAGGUGCGACGUUGCAUAAUUUAAAUCUAGCGACAUAUGUGGCUAAUUCACAUAUGAAGGCUACCUCCACCAUUAGACCACAGGGUAGCAUAGUGCGGUCAUCACACAUCCAUACCUGAGUACUGCCGAAGAUGCAUAAAUAAAACCCCCCCAAGUUAGUACUUAAAUAGCCACCUAGAGUCCUUAUAUGGGCAAGGAAGAUUCGACCACUGGCAGAACUUAGUUAUUUGUUUAACACCAUUUUAUUUAAAAAUUCUUUUGUUUUAAAUACACAAACGCUGCAUUUAUAAUGCUGAACCUGCUCCGAUGCCAGCUGUCACAGAACCGACCAAAUUAUAAGAGUUCAAGUGCAGAAACGAUCGUCAAGCAAUCAAGUUUCUAGACUUGAGCCCAUAUAAUCCCGGUAGUCAAUCGAAAUCGCGAAGGACUUCAAACCAACUCGCAACAAACCAAGAUCGUAAUAGUUCAACAUAAACACAACGAUUGUUACAUAGUCAUUCAUUGCCGUCGAAGCGGCACCACAUCGGAGUAUUAGGUUAUUACAACACAUGUUCGAAGUAGCGGAAGCAAAAUAAGUACACACACUUGUUCAAAGUUCAGUUCACAAGUUUGUUACUGCCAGAGUCUAGGUCGUCCUUCCAAAAGCAUCAUAGACGAGAGAUUAGAGAACCGUGCCCAACGGUUAGUCCUCAUCCCCAGCGGGAUGGAGACAGGUCUUGCAGAAACCGUCAUAGAAGAUAUCAUCUGCAACAGGUGGGAAUAAACCCUGAGUACGAGGAUGUACUCAGCUAGACUUACCCGUCUAGGAAAACAUAAAAGACACCAAGGAUCAUGCAAGGCUGAAUUUUUAAGUGGAGCUGGUUGACUCACCUUUUUGCCAAAAGCUUAACUUACAACUAAAUCAUUUUAAGAGCAUCAAAUUUAUUUAUCAUCAGCCUACCACUAGAUUAGCACCUGUACUACAACACAUCAUUAAUUUAUUACAAACAAUAGUAACCAUAUCAAUUUUAUCACAUGUUCUUAUUGCUAUCAUCAUUAUCAUGAACCGAGUUCGUUAGUGAAUGCUACGUUUGCCGCUGCUCUGUCAAGUUCUCACUAACCGGGAGAGACGACGAUUCGAAUCGAAUUCCUAUCCAGCUGGAGGUUUAUUCCUAGCACUCACCCAAGCAUCCCCUGCCGGAGAGCCAAAAGGAUCACCUUUGGUACGACUCAGAAAUCGCGGCUCCGAUCAGCGCCGCACUCCCAGGGCUACCACUCUGCCAGGGAGGUCAGGAAUUUUAACUCACCUGCCUUUGGACUUACGCCAAUGGUCCCCCGCACACCGCACUUCCUCCGGUAGUGCGCACUUUAUACUUGCCGGUCUUCCGGCCUGAGUCAUACUACUCGGCUUCGCGGUCGGAACGAGUUAUCCGGCCAACUAAGUGUCAGGCAUGCGUUCAACAUGACAAGAGGACGUACAACGAUCGGUCCUUAGCUGCCACAGACGGAGUUACUACACACUUGCAAAACUCCGCCCGGCUUAAGUCAAAUUAACCAGGUUCCAUCCACGAUAGCACAUAUAGACCAUCGCGACCCGACACAACCCUAUAUCGCGCGGAUGACAGGAUAUCACCCGACUUCUACCGAUUAAAGCAUAGCUAAGCUGCUACUCGAACCUAACUCUACAACCAGGGAGGGUAAGUUAUCUGGACAAGGAUAGAGUAGAAUGCAGCAACAGUUUCAUCACAACUCCUAUACGUAAUGCAUCAAUAGAUAUAACGUAUUAAGUAACUUUCGAAAAUAGAGGAGGCUUAAAAUGCUCCGGGGCUUGCCUUUCACGAACGAUGCCGGCUCGUGACUCGGGCACUCAACUUCUUCUUCGGGCUCCUCGAGUCCGGCUUGCUGGACCUCCACCUCCUGGCUGCCUUCCUGGCCUUCGGGGUUCGCUUGGAGCUCGAAGGAAACUGCCACGUCCGGUGCACCUAUUGCAUGCUCGAUGAAUGAGAAGGUGCACAUGCUACAGAUGAAUGCUUAAUAGCACAAGCAACUCACUGGACACUCAUUUACGGAACAAGAGUUAUACUAACUCACAAGAAUAAACAAGUUAUCAUAACCCAAAACCUAUCAUGGCAAUAAAGCAGCAAGCAACAUAAAACAAGUAUGCUCAGUAAAUAAAUCAUAAGUACAGAUAGACAGGUCCAACAAACAUGAGUAAGGACAUUUCUGGAAAGCUUAGGAAAUUAUCUACAACUCAUCUUUAAACAUGACAGCAAGAUUCAAACAUUAAACUAGUCAUUUUAACAAAGUUCCAGGUUCUGUUCCAGAAAAACAGAGAACCCCUAUUUCUGGAACCUAACUUGGAACAGCUGUAACUUUUAAACUACUUGGCCAAAUGACCUCAAAUUUGAACCACAGUUAGUUCAACAAGUUUAGAACAACUUUGUUUUAUACAAGUUUCACAGAAAGUCAAAUUAUCAUUAAGCAAAGUUAAAUUAGUCACUUGCUGUCCAGACAGCAUUUAACCCUAUAGUUAAUUAUUUAAUGACAUGAUCAAGACACAAACUAAGCCAACCAUAAGGCUCAUGGGCACAAACAUAUCACAAGGUCACCAGAUCAUCAGUUGAAAACCCCAAAACAAUUACUUAACAAGGCAUUUGUUAAUUAAUUUUAGGUAAGGCAUAUUUACAAGAUAUUAGUUAAAGUGCUUAGAAAAAUCUACAAAAAUUACAGAGGCACCAGUAUAACAUCAGAUCAACACCAUAAAAAUUUCAGGACCAUUGCACAUGCCAAUUUAAAGAUAUGCAUUUAACAUGUAUCAAGGCAUUUAUUUCAUCAAUUCAUAGACAUGACUCAUAUGGUGUCAAACAACAGAUUUCAGAUUAUUUAUAUCUUAGGAAUGCCAUAAACAAGUUUACCACCAAAAUAGAGCACCAGCAUAAGCACCAAUUAUUUUAUGUGAUUUAAUUAAAGAAACAAGCCAUAUUUCAAACACAAAUUACAUAUCACAACUGCAGUGCUCCAAAAAUCAUGAAAUAAUUAUCAGAGCACUCUAAUGCCAUGCAAAGACUACCAUAAAAUUUUCAAAGCAAACUAAGCAGUAUAACCAGAGAUAUGCAUUUAUCCAUGAAUAACAAGGUUAAAUCCUUAAUAAAUAAUUUCUCAGAAAACAUGAUUCAUUUUAUAUUUUUAUUAAAUACUAGCCAUCUCAAGAAACAACACAAAAUUUGUUUCACAAUUUUUGGAUCACUAGAACUAGAGAUAUGAUUUUUACAAAAUCAGCUCAAACUCUGAUUUAAACAAAGGAGAAAGAGGGACUGACAGAGGGGACCCGCGCGUCAACGGACCCCACCUGCCAGUGACACCGAAGCAGAGGCGCGGCUUGACCGCCGGAGAUCUCGCCGACGGCGAGGUCUCGGCGCUGGCCAAGGGCACCAUCGUGCUCCCCACUGGAUUCCGCAUCUAGCGGUACCCAAAACCCUAACUCUACCGAGCUCUAGGUACCUCGCCCUCGCGAAUGGCGGCACGGCGGUGGUGCGCGGCCGACUGCCGGCGUCUCUGGCCGGAGACAGGGCAGAAGAGAACGAGGACGAGCAACAGCAAGACCUAGCGAAGCUUUUGGGACAAGAAUGAGAAGAAAUGGCGGACUACAGAGCCCUGGCCACGACGCCGGUGGCCAUGGCGGAACUCCGGCGAGGUAAGCUCGCGUCGGAGCAGGCAAUGCGGGCUCACCGAGGCUCGGUAGUCGCAACCAGCUCGACGACGGUGGAGAGGAGAGGCUUGCGGAGCGCUGGACCGAGCUGCUUGGCCGGAGACACGGAGAUGCGCGCGCGCGAGCUCGCCGAAGCAACGGCGGCGACGCGGAAACGACGACGCGCGAGAGAGAGAGGACACCGGGAGCGGAAAUGGCUCUGUCCACGCGACCGGGGCGCCGGGGCGAGAUGAAGGACGCGCGGAGGACUGACGGGCGGGGCCAACGGCGACGUACGGACGCCACGGGUCCAGACACGCGGCACACCGGCGAGCUCCCCCUGUCUGAACGACGACGCGAUUCAGUCUCCCCAAACCGACUGAAACUCGAUUUUGCCCAACGAUUUACUCCCUAAUCACUCGAUGAUUUUGCUGGCUAAUUGCUCCAUGCUAGAGAGCUACACGAGUACUCCAACAUUGCUUACAAGAUCAAGGCUUGAUUCGCUCUAGAAUUCAAACGGGAAGGUGAAGAACACCCCCUCGAGCAAACUGCAAAGCCCCCAGGACUUAGAAAAUUUCUAAGUGUGGAAAACAGCCCCAAAACUGCCUUGUGGGCCACUUUUGAGCUAUUUGUGAUCAUUUUCAUGAGAUGGCCAUAAAACAAUUUUUGUUCCUUAUAAAAUUUGCUACAACUUUGCUGUAGGAAGUUUUGACAUGCAAACAUUUUAUGAAACACUUUUUAAAAGCCUAAGCAAAAGAGGUUCCUAGGGCCUAUUUGCAUAAGUAAGACUUAAGUGAUUAUUUUGGAGAAAUGAUCAACAUGAACAUUGUUCCCAAGAAUAAGUUAAGCAUAGAUAAGCUAUUUACCAAGGCAUUAAGCACCAACACAAGCAUUGUUCACUCAAACAUAAGCAUAGAAAGCCUAUCUAAGCCAUUUAAAACACAUUUUUGCAAAGGAUGCCAUGUCCCAAGAUAGAUGAUGAUCAUGGAUGCUUUUGAAUACAUGAUGAUGCUCAUGCUAUGCACAUGUUUGAUGCAACCAUAACACUGGGGUGUUACACUCGCCCUCGCGAAUGGCGGCACGGCGGUGGUGCGCGGCCGACCGCCGGCGUCUCUGACCGGAGACAGAGCGGAAGAGGAUGCGGACGAGCAUCAGCAUGACCUACCGGAGCUUUAGGGACAAGAAUGAGGAGGAAUGGUGGACUACAGAGCCCUGGCCACGAUGCCGGUGACCAUGGCGGAGCUUCGGCGAGGCAAGCUCGCGACGGAGAAGGCAAUGCGGGCUCAUCGAGGCUCGGCAGUCGCAGCCAACUUGACGACAGUGAAGUGGAGAGGCUGGCGGAGCACUGGGCGGAGUUGCUUGGCCGGAGACACGCGCGCGCGAGCCCGCCGAAGCAACGGCGGCGACUCGGAGACGACGACGCACGCGAGAGGGAGUGAACCGGGAGUGGAAUGGCGUUGUCCACGCGACCGGGGGCGCCGUGGUGAGCUGUAGGACGCGUCGAGGACUGACGUGUGGGACCAACGGCGACGUACGGACGCCACGGGUCCAGACACACGGCGACACCGGCGAGCUCCCCCUGUCUGACGGCGGCUCCAUUCAGUUCCCAAACCGACUGAAACUCGAUUUUUCACGACGAUUAACUCCUAAACCACUCGAUGAUUUUGCUGGCUAAUUGCUCCAUGCUGGAGAACUACAUGAGUACUCCAACAUUGCUUACUAGAUCAAAGCUUGAUUCGGCCUAGAAUUCAAACUGGAAGAUGAACAAUACCCCCUCGAGCAAACUGCAGAGAUUCCAGACUUAGAAAAUUUUCUAAGUGUUGGAAACAGCCCCAAAACUGGCUUGUGGGCCACUUUUGAGCUAUUUGUAUUCAUUUUCAUGAGAUGGCCAUAAAACAACUUUUGUUCCUUAUAAAAUUUGCUACAACUUUGCUGUAGGAAGUUUUGACAUGCAAACAUUGUAUGAAACACUUUUUAAAAGACUAAGGAAAAGAGGUUUCCAGGGCCUAUUUACACAAGUAAGACUUAAGGGCAUAUUUUGGAGAAGUGAUCAACAUGAACAUUGUUCCCAAGGUUAAGUUAAGCACAGAUAAACUAAUUACCAAGGCAUAGAGCACAAACACAAUCAUGGUUCACUCAAACAUAAGCAUAGGAAGCCCAAUCAAGCAAUUUAAAUCACAAUUUUGCAUAGAAUGACAUGGCUCAAGAUAGAUGAUGAUCAUGAUAUGCUUUGAGUAGAUGAUGAUGCUCAUGCUAUGCACAUGAUUGAUGCAACCAUAACACUGGGGUGUUACAUUGAGUGGAAGUUUCCUAGCACUUAUAUCCCUGAGAAAGAGAAAGAACCAGUUCCUAAACAAGAAGAAGAAGUUUCGAUAGCCAGAUCACAACCACUUCAAUUCCAAACUUUAGCUAUCGAUCCGAAACAAUCAAUAUCCCAAAAUUCUCCAAAGGAGGAAGGAAUUCCGACCUUAAAUCUUUCAAAUGCUAGUGGUUUAGACUUCUGGUUCCAUAAGAGACCUUCAACCAGGGAUAAUUUAAAUCCUUGCAAUAAUGGUUCUCUUAGAGAAUGUCCUAGUUCCUGUUAUGACGAAUUUGAGGGUGACAUAUCAAGUGAAGGAGAGCUAAACCAUAUAGAAAAUUCUAUCUGCUCCCCUUCCAUGUUCACAAAUUCUAAAUCCAUCCUUGACCUUAGAGACCCCUCUUAUCCCUCUCCUUUUAAGUCUCAUGAUGAUCCUAGCAAUUCAUCAAGACGACCAAACCAUAGGAGUCAUGAAGACCAUAAGGAUGGCAUGUCAAGUAAUGCCAUAGAAGGAGAGCUAAGCCAAAUAGAAAAUUCUAACACCUCCCCUUUGUUGACACUUGCUAACACCACUUGAAUACUAGGUUGUCAUCCCCAGCAUGGCACUAGAGUGUACUAUGGUAUUUAUACGCACACAGAUAAUCCGUAAGCGCACGGAUACCGUUCAAGCUUUUACCCGGUUAAAGGUUUUAUCGUAUCCACAGGGAAAUGGGAGAACCAACUACGCUCUAACUUAACCAAGAUAGAUAGAUAGGUGUAAAUAGGUAAGAUAGUAGAAUCGAAUAAGAACAAUAUUAAAGGUAAGAUAAUAGUGAGUGAUAAUAUGGGAAUAGAGAAUAGAGCAAUUCUAGUAUAUGGGCGAUGGUAGCAGAAUAGAGAGGAUAACUAUGGUUUCUCUACUUCAAAGGGGUAUGUCUAUGUCUGGGACGAACAACGUGAUAUGUGUACACCAGAAAGGAUGCUUAUCCUUAGGCCGAUAAACCCUACCUGUCCUGCUAACGAGAGGUGGACUACAGAGGACCAACGUAACUGUCACCUACGCGGCCUACCACACGAUCCAUCUAGACAGGGGAUAUCCACAAGUAAUCUAGAUCUAAGCACCUCGCUUACACCUAUACUACAACUCUCACCUAUAGCGUCCUAUAGAUUAGAAUACUCAAAAGAGUUGUGAACCAGAACAUACAUAAUUAGUAAUUGCAUAAUGAAUUAGAAGUAGAUUACCAGAGUCAUCCCAUGAGCAAGCUUGAUUAGAGCUUGAUCAUGACGAAGUACAACCGGAGGAAGAACCGACAGGCCGGCUUCUCCUCUAAUCCUCCUUCGCUCUCCAUCUUGCUACUAUCUAGAUCUACUCUAGUUUAGAGAAGAGAGGAGAGCUCUCAUCUCUAAACCCUAGCUUUUGCUCUGUCUAUGAAUAAUGAUCAAGGGGUGCCUCCUCCAGGGGCCAAGGGGUCUGGUUAUAUAGUCCCCUCAAGUGAACCUGGGCCGCCGGAUCAAACCGACAUUGAUUGAACGGUUAUUCUUGAUCCUCUAGGUUGGUGGAGAUCUCUCGAGAAACAUUGUCCUGAUUGGACUUAGAGAGGGGGCGGGCGCCCAGGGCAGGAGGGCGGGCGCCCUGCCUCUGGCCCCGUUUCGCCUCCGCUUCGGUCUCGUGGCUUCUGGAGUCUUCUAGAUGUAAGAUAAUUGCGUGGCACGUUAAUAUCUCUAUGUAAUCCUGACGUGUGGGCCUUUCUUCCGUAUUUCCUGAUAACCCCCUGCAGAAAUAGACAAACACCAAAACUCGUGGAAUUCUGUCAGAUAAAAUCCUAAGUCUAGAUGUUGAUUUCAUUUAGAUCCUUUUCUUUGUUUAUUUGAUAAUUAAAUUUGAUACUUAAGGACCGUCAACAAACUCCCCCAAGCUUACCUCUUGCUCGUCCCUGAGCAAGGAUAGACUCAGCAAUGGAUUAGAAGUUGUUGCAAUAUCUUAAAAAUUUGACGGUACACAUGCUUUUAAAUAUGAUCUCAUCUCUGAGUUAGAGUAAACUGUCAAGAACUAAAACUUACUUACUUUACCUUUCUCCAUGGGACUUGUAACCGUCACUUCUGUCUUGAGUAGUGAAAAGAUAGAACAGUCUAGCCAAGUGCCAUGUCUCUUAUUCUUGAUCAGCUAUAGCUCUAGAGUUUUUGCAGAUUUUCAAAUAAAACUUAGAGAUUCCUUGUAUGACUCUCUAAAUCUCUCUUUUGUGGUAUUUCUGGAUCCUUACCAAGGCAGUGAUGGUAUGUGCCUUCUCUCAAGAUAUGUGGUAUUUGUGGUAUAAGGCAUAGUGACAUUGCCUUCUCUCUCACCCUACUCUAAUAAGGCUUUAAUAUCUGGAGCUCAUAGGUGGGAGACAGCUAAUACAUACUUACAAGACAUUUAUUGUAUAGUCAAACCAUGGAUCCAAAGAAACAAAUCAAUAAGCCAAAUCAAGAUGUGCAUGUGUUGUGAAUGAAUGGUGUAUGGUGAUGAUGGUGAUAACAAUGGUGAAAGUCUAAUUCUACUUUUGCUCUUUUGAGGGGGUACAUACCUUCCUUGCUUUCUGAAACUUUAUGAGGAGAAUGAGAUGCUCUUCAUUUUCUUUACUCUCAGGUGGGUAUCUUGUACCCCUAAUUCUACUGUCGGACACUUGUCCAUUUUUACCUCUCGUCUCACUUUUUCUUUCUUUUGAGGUUCCGGGCACUUGCCCCUUUUUAUUUCCUCAUUUUUUUUAUUUUUUUUCUUCUCUUUUCUCUCUUUUUUUCAGAGCACUCAUCUCUUGAGAUAAUAUAGCAAGUGGUAGUAGCAAGAUAACGUGAGCAUUUAUUUUACAAGGGAAAACAGAAAUAUUUUUGGCUAUUCUCUCCCGGAUUAGGAGUAGAAUAUUUUUGGGUGGUUCUGGAGAUGGACAUGGAUGAAUAUAUGUGGAUGGUACUUCCGGAGUAGAAGUAGCAUAUAUGAGUGAACGUGCAAGUAAAUCUUGAUUUAACCACAUGACAAGCUCCUAAGGGUCUACACAGCUUGACCACACUCAAUGCUCAUAAGCAGUAAAUAGUAAAUGUGUGGCUCAAAGUCUAGCAAGCAUGUAUAUAUGGCUGUGGUAGGAAUUUAAACUUUCAUCAUACAGGAACUCAUCAUGCAAUAUUUUAAAGAUUUUUCAAAGAUAAAAUUCUCCAGAAUUCUAGCAUCUCUAGAGGAACAGAUAAACAGCAGCUCAGCCUACCCAUAUCAUAUCCAUUAACUACUUAGAUUUCAGAUCAAGGUUUCAUCCCACAAGUUUAGAUCUAGAGCAAGCUUUAAAUUAUAACAGUUAUGUCUAAACUUGAGAGAGAACUUCAAAUUUGCAAAUUAGGCAGAGCAACUAUUCAUCAUAUCCAUGCUAGAGUUUUAUUAUUAAGAUUCAGAUUAGCAUAGCCACUUUAUUUAUUAAACACACUAAGCAAAAAAUAUAUAUAAGCACAAAAUCUUUAUUUGGUUUUUCAUAGUUUAUGUAUUUUAAUAUUCUAAUAUAAUAUAAGUAUAAAGAUAGGUAGAAAUACUUAGCGAGAUAAAUGGGGGUGCUCUCCCCCAAGCUGAAUUUUGACGUAAUUUCUCUUGAUGUAGCUAGCAGGUGGCAGAGGUGUAUUUGAAAGUCAGCAGCAUUCUGACAGCGAUUAGAAUGUCCUCCGUCUGCUAGUCUUCUUGAUUCUUAAAUUCUAUGGAGCUCAAAUAGACAACAAAGCUUGUGGAACUAAUUAAGUGCUAGCAUAAAUAUCUAGCCUUCAUCAUGUUGAGCUUCCUCAAUAAAUAUUACUCCCUGUUUUUAUAUUUUUAUUUUAUAAAGCAGAAAAGAAAUAUUUAUUUUUAUGCCACCAAAGUGAAGGUACUUAUGGGUUUUAUGCCACUCGUAUACUAACAUGGCGCUUAGUAUUUUUUAACAUUUUUAUUUUAUUUUCUUUUCAAGAUAGCAUGAUUAACUAAUAAUCUAUUUAAGGAAAGUAAAUUAUUAAAGGGAAAAGGGAAUGCAGAAAGGAUAAAUAUGGAUAACUACUGAUCUUACCUUUCGGCGAGGGUUCAAUGUUUUAAGUCUUCUUAACAAGACUUCUCACCGUGUUCAUUCUUCAGGUGCGUCAUUUGAUUCAGGUGCGGGCCUUGACGUCUGCACCUCUUUAUACGGUGUCACCCAUGUUCUUCGUUUGCCCAGCAGUUCAAAGUGCGGUGUUGGCAGUAACCUGCUCAGUGUGUUUGUGCUCGUAGAUCCAGGUCCUUCACUUGGUAGAGUCUGAGAGUUAUAAAACUCCUCCGUGUUUUGCUCAAAGCGUACCUGCUCAUAGAGACAAGGCAGAGAUCAAGUGCAUGGGUCCUGUUGGUGGAAAACACCAACAGAACCUAAAGUGUAUUUGUUCUUCUCUAACCCUAAGCAUAGUGAGCAAGACAAAGUUGAUGGAUGAAAAGUUCAUGAGUGUAGCACUUAUAACAUUUGUCAAAUCAGAUCGCUCAACCUUAUGGAAAGAUAAUCUAUCUAUGUAUAUGUCUUUUUCUUUAUAUCUCUCAAAGAUUGAGUGUGUAACAUUUUAGCUCAUAUGAUUAGGAGUGUGGAAUCAUGGAGGUAGUACUAAGAACAAGGAUUAAAGGACUAAAUAUGUUGAAUCAGUUGGGUUGGUUAAUCUAGAGUUGUAAAUCAUACAUGUUUGUCUCUUUUAUUUAUAUGAACGCUAGAACCAAGGAGAACCUUAUAAAAGUGAUAGUCAAGUACCUUAAGAUGUUACCUUGCUUGAAGAGUGAUGGUACAGUAUCACCUUGUGGAAGCUUUCCUUUCUUAGCGGUUGUGCAUCGUGUUUGUGGCACCCUCCAUGGAUCAUCUCUCUAUGAUGAAUGAGUUAUGUCCUUCUUGUGCAAAUUGUUAAACUUCAUGUGACACUCUCUUCGUCUCUGAUGUGAGUUUAUCUCAGGACUUCCCAAAUCGGUAUUGAAAGUUUUUCUACAGGGGUUAGUCCGACAAAAAUAUACCAAUGUCUACACAAGCAGUUUUUAGUUCAAUAACCGAACUAGACUCCAUGUCUAAUCAGAUUAAGGAAGGCUGUAUAACCUAAGCACCAUGCUUAAUUUAAAAGCCAAUAGAAGUAUGUGCAGUACUUCCAAACUAACACUUACUAGUAAAUAGACAAAGGUAACAUGACAGCAUUUAUAGAGAUCUACUCAAGUGGACAUGAAGUAGUGUGAUUAGUAUUUAACAAAUUGAGCAUGUCUUAAAGGUAGGGACAACCAACAUAGCAACAUGG
rnacentral:lncRNA from 1 species